rnacentral:lncRNA from 1 species
UCCUGAUCCGGCAUGAUGGCGCGAAUGGUCGUCCGAUAAGUAAGUGGAGAGAUGAAUGUGUAUGUGAAUGUAUGUUUAAGUUAGCCGGUAGGGCUCCAAUUGUGCACCAUUAGUUACUGUGCAAUAGAGAAGGGAGAAGGAAAAGUAUCGCUGUUUAGUGGGUGAUUAGCGACACUGGUUGGGACGGAAAUGGAAAUGUUUGGCGCGUAUGUCGGUGUGUGUUUGUGUAGCUGCAUGCGCCGCCCGCAGCCAGCGAGGACGUUACUCCGUCAUGUGCCAGGGAGAGCCGAGAGGCUGCUGGUUUUCUUUCCUGCCCAAAACGCCACCAGGUGAUUUCACUGAUUAGUCCCUGCUCUCUGCUUGGGGUAAGGUAAUCAGUGAAAUCACCUGGUGGAGUUUUGGGUUGGAAGGAAAACCUGCAGACUCUUGGCCCUCCAUGGCACGUGAUUGCCCACCCCUGGAACGUUGAAUGUAGUGUAAUGUAAUGUAAUAUUUCCUAGGUUAAAUUAUUAGGAAUAUGUCCACAUAAAAAUGGCUCAAAUGAUAGAAAGCAUGGAUGACCGUUGUAUAAGGGGGAUGAUUUAUUAUUAUUAUUUUUUAACCAUUUUCAUUUUGGGGGGAUGCCAUCCCUCCUCAACUUGGUGGCCGAGAACUGCCAUUGCAGCAAAUAAAAAAGAAUGCAAAAAAAAAAAGAAGUAGUAGCCACUAUGGAAAUUUCUGAUGCAAAAAAGAAAAAGUAAAAAGAAACCGAAGCCAGCUGCGAAUUAAAAAAAGAAAUGGUGCAGAUUUAAAAAAAAAAAAAAAAAACACCUCCACAGAAGUUAAAAACAAAAAAAAGUAGUGAUACAAAAAUAAAUAAAUAAUAAAAUUUACUUACAGCGAAAUCCGGCAGCUCACUCCAGUUGUGGCUUUUUUUUUGUAUCCUUUUAUUUUUGCAGAAAGUAUUUUUUAAUUGUCUUAAAUUUUUUUGUAUUGUCACUUUUUUGUGUCAUUAACUUCCGUUGUGGCUUUUUUAUCUGCACCGUUUCUUUUUUUAUUCGCAGCGUGCUUCGGUUCCUUUUUUGUUGCAUCGGUAACUUCCGUUGUGACAUCUUUUUUUGCAUUCUUUUUUAUUUGCAGCAGUGGCAGUUCUCGGCCACCAUACAACUCAAGCCUCACUACCCUAUCUCUCGUGGGCCUUAUCUGCACUGAGAUUUCGCCUUCAGUCUUGAAGAGAGGCUCCUUGCUAAUGUCAUUCUUGUUAGCUUCCUGGACAUCUGGACAUCAGUUGUAAGUCCUGUCCUGUUUUAAGCCUCACAGUCCAGUGGAUAGAUGACGCCUAAUCCAUUGAAAUUAUCUUGUGUUUUUCAUUAUGAAAACAUCCAUUUUCAAAGCGAAGACUGUAUCCAUCAUUCAUGUUUGGAUAAAAUACCAUUUGUCCUGUUUUGAGCCCGAGCAUCACAGUAAGAGUAUCAGGUACAUUGAGGUACGACCAGGACCCCUUUAAUAUUUAAUCCACAUUGUUUUUUUUAUCACUGUUAUGUUUAUCUCAAGACAAAGAGCAGUUACAAUAGACCAAAGGAGAGAAUAAAAGGCUACAGUGGCUCAAUGGAGAGGCAUAAAAGGGUAAAAGAGAGGGACAGAGUUUAGGCUGAAGUGCUUGGCACCCUGACAGCUGGUAUUGUCAUGUUGCCCACACCCCUCCACACCUGCCUCCACCGUGCCAAAGAAAACUAAUUACCAGCACAUCAGAUCUGGAGCUGCUGCCUUAGCUAAUGUAACACCCUGCCUGGGUUUGCAGAGCCAUGCAGGAGACAUGUCACAUCCUGGCAGAGCAGGCGUGUGAAUGAAGAGCGUUUCCUAUCACGCUCAUUCAGAGACAGCUUCGAGAAGAAUUCAGCGUCAUGGAGUGACAUUUAAUUGAGUCACACUUGUACUUUCAGCCUUUGUUCACCACAAUUUGUGAGUGACAACCUGAAAGUAGAAAGUGAGGAGAUUGUUUUAUUAUGUAACACAGAAAUAGAUGUGUGUGAACAGCCGCUCUCUCUCUCUCUCUCUCUCUCUCUCUCUGAGAUGAAACGCUGAGGUAAAAGAGGUCGCUGACUCACACUGCUGCUUUGAGGUUAAAUUUACUAUCUCACCGCGCAUGAUUAUGAAAUACAAUUUCAUCAAAUGAAACAAAGGGACACUCUUAAUUUUGUAUUGAUUCUCAAAAUUAUUUAAUCCACCCCAAAGGCCAUUGCAUACACAAACUCUCUUUCUCACACACACAAACACACACAUAUAAUAGCUGUCUUAAUAACAUCGGACAAAAACCCAGACACAGAAAUGCCACAGUCUGGAUUCACUUUAGUUUAUCUUUAAUGAAGCAGUGUCUUUAAUUUAUUUUGUGUCCUAACAGUUUGCCCUUUCAAAGCUUUAAUUAAAAGUGAACUUUGCUGUUAAAAUUGUUUUAUUAAUAAGUUGGAUUUUGCUUCUCCGUGUUUUAUGUCUUUGGCUUCACAUAAGAAUAAACAAUAAAUGAGCACGAUCAUUCAGAGACUGAGGCUGAGUCUGUGUCUGCUGCCAUUCUUGCAGCUGUCAGGCUGUAUUUUACCACAUAAUUACUUCCAAGCUGUAAGUAAACCUAAAUCAACAUUAAUCUUGUUUGUGGCUGUGCCAAACAAGCUACAUGAAACGGUGUCAUUUCAAGAAGCCAGCAACGAGCCCAGCCUUUAUUUACCAAUCAAACAUUUCCUCGCAUAACUCCUCGGACAGUUUGGUUUGAGUUUAUUACAGCGGGCUGCAGCAUGCUAAAGAAAACAACACUAGCCUCAUUAGCCUGAUUUAGAGUUAAAGGGAUAUUCCGGUGUGAAGGGUCAAACACCGCAACACCGAGUUAGACACCCCCUCGAGAGACCGCUUGCUUCUCUAGUUAUACCAACAUAAGUAACGACCACAGGAUAGCAAUACACAGCGGUCUGAGGAGCCAUAAACAAACAUCAACCAAAAAGCCACUCUAUAGCCACAAAUAAUGCUCAGAACAGCACCUAACUUCAUCAACGGUACAUAUAGGGUCCCAGCCACAGCACUAGACACCAAACAUCCUUUUAACUUUGCCUGAUUUCUUUAGCGAAGACACUAAACACAACUCACCUACUCUCUUCCAGCAGCUGCUUGUUUGUAGCUGGACUUCAAGCCAGUCCAUUACGAACUGCUGCGAGUUGACACAGCUCAAGGAAGAACAUUUAUGAUCAUUUCUUUAUCAUUUCCUUCAAGUAAUAAUCACCAUAAUAAUCAUUUUGUGCUGCAGACGAGGUAGAUCUUCUGCCUUAGCGUCUCGGUUUGAUUGCAUUUCCAUGAAGAAAUGAUCAUAAAUGUUCUUCCUUGAGCUGCGUCAGUUGAUAUAACUAGAGAAGCAAGCAGUCGGCAACAUUCAUCUCUCGAGGGGGUGUCUAACUCGGUGUUACAGUGUGUUUGACUCUAAAUUAAUUUCACGCCAGAAUAUCCUUUGAGCUGAAGGUGCAUGUGGACACCUUGAAGAUCUUUACCUUCUUUAUGGGAGACAAAGAGGAUUUAACCGUUGACUCAUUGUCAGAGCUACAUCACAUCCUGUCUGUCUAUAACUCUGCACAUGAUAAAUUAUGUAGGACAUGGAAAGAAAUAAUUUUCCAUCACAGAGGCUGUACAGUGCGGCUGUAUGUGUGAAGAGGUGACCAUGACAAAUUGUUUUGUUCCCAAUCUACCGUCUACCAUCCAAGUUCACAAAGGUCUGGGCCCUGUGAUGAAACCUGCUGUCACUGGGAGAGUGUGGGUGGUGUCAGUUUUAAGCAUAUCAUCUGUCAACACACACAAGCUAUACACACACACACACAUUGUAUAUACACACACACACGUACUGCUAUCCUGUACUCGUUUUGGCAUCCAAGGCCAGAGGAUAAUGGUGUCAGUGUGUGUAAGACUUGUAUACGUGCGUGCGGGUCUGUGUGCCCUCCAAACCUGACUGGAGGCUGCAUGGAUGUGUGCUUUUGUGUGCGUGUUUUGUGUGCUGUUGGCAGGGGAGACAGCUCGACACAUGGCACAUGGCAAGUGUGUAAGCAAGUCCCAGGAACACCUGAGCCCCGGUGUUUGCGUGUCUGUGUGCGUGUGUGUGUGUACGGAGGUGGGUUCCCUUGUUGAAGGGUGAGUUCCUCCUCUCCACAGCACCUGUCACUGGGUGUUGAUGGUUGAUCCGUCUAUUCUUACCAGCUUCAUCCUAAUUGGUCAUUAGUUUCCUGUCGGGUCAUUCCAGAGAAAAUCCUCUGUAGCAAUCUUUGUGUUUGCUAGUUUGUUGGUCUUCACAACACAGUUUUCUGUGUUUCUUUUCUCAUGUUUUAAGUGGAUGUCUCAAAAUACCAUAGAAACCUGAAUAUAUAAAAAGCAUGUUUCAUACUCUAUACUAAAUGCUAAUACACCUUACAAGAGUGGAUGGCUCCAUUUAUCCUUACAGACAAUUUACAGUCAGACUCUACCUUUAUUUCUGUUUCUUUGUGGACCAUUUUAAUAACUACAGAACUGUUUAUGAAUAGGGCUUGGACGAUAUGCUUUUCUCCCGAUUCCAUUCGUCUACGUUUUUUUGGAUGCCAAUUCGAUUUAAAUUGCGAUUCUACGAUUUUGUCGAUUUUUCUUGAUUUUGACUCUGCAUUUUUAACAACAGUUAAAGAAUUGAAUGAUUAUGAUUGUCUACUGACUAUUCCAGGAACCAAAUUUCCCCAAAAAAUACACAUCACAUGUAAGUCAGUUUUUAAGAUUUAUUAUUAAACUUGAAGGGAAAAAAAAAGAAUAAAAAAAUCGAUUUAAAAAUUGCAAAACAAAAACUUGCGAUACUUGCGUGAAUUGAUGUUUUUUUCCCACUCCUAUUUCUAAAUAUCAAAAAUUGUACGAUUAUCACUUGCUUUUUUAAUCACUCAAUCAUUUACUGUUUGCUGAUUGUUGUGCCAUAUUGUUUUAUCUUUUUUUAUAUAUUCAGUAUCAGCCUGAGAGACAUAUUUAUCUGUCACAUCCCAAAAGGGCCUGAAGAGACUGAGGUAUUGAAGUGAUGUGCUGCCACGAUAUGACAAAGUUACAGAGUUACAUCAGAGAUCAUCAUCAGACAUGACAAGCCCUGAGCUCCCACCCCCUGUUGACAUUUACAGCAUUCAGCACAGACUCUUUGUGUGUAACUCCAGAUCUCCUAUGUAUAGUACCCCUUCUGAGCAUCAGACACUGUGACUGUACUUUUUAUAGUUAUGUUUUACGCAUUGUUGAUAAUUUGUGGUGCUUAUAAUAUGAUCUUAUUGGAAUCCUGAUUCUCUUUAUUUUUUUAUUUCAUCACAAUCCUGAUCCUCUUUUUAAUUUCACUUGUACUUUCUGUGACGAAAUGAAGCUUUUGACCUCAGUGUUGCUCUUAUUAAAAUGUUUCAAAGGUAAAUUUAUAAUCAAAGCACAAAUCAGAUGAUAUUGGUAACCCGACUUUUUCCCAUUUCAUUAAAAGAAAAACCCUUGAACUUUUAUAUAAUAUUUCUCUGUGAUAUCAUCAUCUGAUUUUCUACAGAGGGCGGCUUGCAUGCUGCUGUGCAUAAACCAGCUCUAAAUGCUAAGAAUAGACCUUAAAACCCUCCUCCGCUAAACCGGAAGCCUCUAUAUUUAACUCAUCUCUGUCUGGUUACCAUGACAAAUGAGGGACAUGUAUCCCAUAUUGCAUUACGAGGGCACUAUUAUAGACUCCUAUCUGGCCUGAGAUGAGUUUGAGGAUCAGAUCAAUAGAUUCUGGACCCGAGGAGGUCAUCAGUAUCAUUACUCUCAGUACAAUAAAGAAGCUAGAAAGCUCUUCUUCAUAAGUCAUACUGGAUCUUAGCUAUAGCUCCAUUGUACAAUAGAAUUAAUCACCCUCACGGCUGCUGACGCAAUUUCUAGUCUUCAUAUAGGCCUCUGUAAUUCAUUACAAAAAUAUAAAGGCGCUUGAGUAUAGAUAAUGAAAGGACAAAUAUAAAUUGUUCAAAAACUGUUUAGAAAAAAUAGGCUUUGAUGUCAUAUUUAGGUCAGCUUAUUCACAGCCGCUGCUAAAAGAUCCGCCUGCAGCGACAAGAAACGUUGCAAUCUCAUUUUGUGUGUGUGUGUGUGUGUGUGUGUGUGUGUGUGAUAGAUAUUAUUUCCAGUGUUGGGAAGGCUAUAAAUAUUCAGCUAAUAUUCCCCCCACCCUUGGGCUGCUGAGUGAACCCAGCUCCAGUCAAGUGGUUUGUAUUCUGACAGUGAAGGUCCUAAAGUCUGCUUUGAACUUUGUCAGAAUAUUGAAACACAUGAACAUAAUUGAAGAUAGGAUUCAUGUAGCAUUUAGAAUUAGAUAGAAAUGGGCAAAUAUUGAAUUACAAGAGGAUAGUGUAUAGUGAAUGGGUGGUUAUGCAGCUUAAAGGGAUAUUCCAGUGUAAAGUUAAGUUAGGGUCAAACAUACCAUAACACCGAGUUAGACAACCCCUCGAGAGAUGAAUGUUGCCAACCGCUUGCUUCUCUAGUUAUACCAACUUGAGUACAAACCGCAGAUAGCAACACAGAGAGCCACGCGCUCAACCAAAAUGCCACUCUAUAGCUACAAAUAAUGCUCAGAACAGCACCUAACUUCAUCAACAGUACAUAUAGGGUCCUAGCCAAAGCACUAGCCACCAAACAUCUUUUUAGCUUUGCCUGAUUUCUUUAGCAAAGAGAAAAAACACAACUCACCGUCUCUCUUCCAGCAGCUGCUUGUUUGUACAGAGACCUCUGGGCGAGUCCAUCGACUGCAGCAGAGUUUUGCAGCUCAAGGAAAAACAUUUAUGAUCAUUUCCUCAUGGAAAUGCAAUCAGACAGAGACACUAAGUCAGAAGAACUACCACGUAUUCAGUGCAAAAUUAUUUGUACGGAGGCCUCUUUACAAAUGAGUGGCUGCUGGAGGAGAGUAGGUGAGUUGUGUUUAGUCUCUUUGCUUAAUAAAUCAGGCAAAGCUAAAAAGAUGUUUGAUGGCUAGUGCUGUGGCUGGGACCCUAUGUGUACUGUUAAUGAAGCCGGAAUAUCCCUUUCUGUUUUGGGUUUAAGUGACUUUGUAGCAAUGUGUAGCUUUGUGGUGAGAUGUACUCAUCAGUUCUGUGGCCAUUACCUGGAUUGCAGGACAGGAUGAUGUUCCACUCCUCCCUAUCAGAGUUGGUUAGGGCGCAGUAGCCCCUGAGGCUGCUCUGACAUCUGUGCUCUGUAACUGUCACUGUUUCUCAUGAUCGCCGCAAGAUGAAAACAAACAUUUUUACCAUAGUGUCAACAGGCAGAGGUGAAAAGAUCCUGUCAUUUGACCAGUAAGAAUAAGGUAUUUGAAUUAGCCUGAAAAAAACUGCCCACAAAGUUGACUCAGUCAGAUACUAAAACAGCUUUUUGACCAACAAAGUUAAUCAGACCAUAAGCUUCCUGUUCUACGUUUUCAUUCAUUAAAAUUGAUAAUUAUCAGAAUAAAUGUCAAUCAUACUGUUCACUUCAUAGUUAAUGUCAGGAUAAUCAUGAUUGGCUCGUCUUCUUCUUCCUUAGUCCUCUUCUUGUCUCACUCUUAGGUGGCAGAAGACACACUGCUUUAUUUGUUUCCUGAAGAUCCAUCUAUAUGCUUUUUGAUUUGGUGUGUCAUUUGUUGGUAAAACUGUAAAACACACGCUGGGUUACCCCUGGGCCUUUUAGCACAUAUUACCACAUAACCUUGAUGCUAACACAAUAUCAUCUUGUUUCAGUGCAUACAUUUGCGCUUUUAUAGCUUCAGACCCUCUGAUGCACAUUUGAUUUAUUACUCCAGCUCUCACAUAUGUGAUGAUUUUAUGAGAUAAGACAGGAUGACAUUAACUCCCUCAAAUCCAUCUGCUUGACAUCUUUAACGUCCUUGAGUUUUGUGCAGGUCUAUAAAGUUAUCGUGAUCAGAUUAACAGAGCUCAGCCUUGCUUUGAUUUGGCUCGAACGCAGAGAGAUAAAGAGCUGCGAUUCAGAUCAUCAGGUUGUCAGAUAGGCGCCACAGUGAAGAACGACUUCAAAAUGACUCCUGGUGAGCAGGAGGGGUGAUAAAAACAUGACGGCAGGGGGGAAACAGUGGGCGGCUGUGGUGUGAGAGUGUGAAGAUGAAUAGCACAAAGCAUAAAGCAGGAUUACAGUCAUUGAUAUUAGUCUCUUUAAUGUGUAUGUUCAUGUACAAAUGCAAAAAAAGAGAGUUGAUCAAGACAGAACCUGAGAUCUAGAGAUAAUUUACCUGCUUCAUCUUUAGGUUAUGCAUCAUUGUUUGGAGUUUGCAAUCAUAUUAGAUAACAAUGCUAUUCAGAGAGUCUAUAACCAGAGUGCAUUGUUCAUUUAGCGUCAUAUUCCAUGUAUUUUAGAGACAAAGUAAUUGAGAGAAAUCAGAUUAUGCUAGAUCAACACAAAGGAUUAUAUUGCUGGGUCAAAUCUGGAGCGGGUGCUCGGUAAUCCGUGACAGAUUACAUUUUAAAAGGAGCCUGUACCACGCGCGGGUGGAUGCGAGGUGGAGACGGAAAAAACAGUUUGGAAAUGAGAGCCGUGUCAGUGGGGCUGCAGGAAACGGUGAUAAAAAUUGGUUCGGACUGUGCUCAGUUCUCACAUCCACAUAAGGGUUGUGAGUGCUGAGGUAGGAUAGAGAGGGAGCUCGAAGAGAGUGAGGGAUGGAGAGGCAAAACAGGGUUAAAAAAAAGAGUUAGGAAGGGUGGGGAAAGUUUACAUUACAACUAUAUGAACAUAUUUCUGUCUUUCCAGUGUCCUUUCUCGACUUCACUUAACUUUGCCUGAUUUCUUCAGCAAAGAGACUAAACACAACUCACCUACUCUCUUUCAGCAGCCGCUUGUUUGUAGCUGGACCUCAAGCCAGUCCAUUACGAACUGCUGCAGGGUGACACAGCUCAAGGAAGAACAUUUAUGAUCAUUACUUUAUUAUUUCCUUAAAGUAAUAAUCACCAUAUUAAUCAUUUUGCACUGCACAUGCUGUAGUUCUUCUGCCUUCGCGUCUUGGUCUGAUUGCAUUUUCAUGAAGAAAUGAUCAUAAAUGUUUUUUCUUGAGCUGCAUCACCCCGCAGCAGUUCGUAAUGGACUGGCUUGAGGUCCAGCUACAAACAAGCGGCUGCUGGAAGAGAGUAGGUGAGUAGUGUUUAGUCUCUUUGCUAAAGAAAUUGGGCAAAGCUAAAAAGAUGUUUGGUGGCUAGUACUUUGACUGGGACCCUAUAUGUAUGUUGAUGAAGUUAGGUGCUGUUCUGAGCAUUAUUUGUGGCUAUAGAGUGGCGUUUUGUUUAAGGUUUGUUUAUGGCUCCUCAGACUGCUGUGUAUUGCUAUCUGCAGUUGUUACUAAAGUUGGUAUAACUAGAGAAGCAAGCGGUCAGCAACAUUCAUCUCUUGAGUGGGUGUCUAACUCGGUGUUACGGUGUGUUUGACCCUGAAUUAAUUUUACACUGGAAUAUCCAUUUAAGUGAAUUAUUUAUUAUUUGAUUCAGUAGCUGUAACCUUUUCCAUAAUUCAUGUUAUGUUUUGAAAGAUGCUAAUUAAGAACUAAAUAAUAAAAAAAAUAAACAGUGCUGGAUCAUUUUCCAGGGUCCACAUUAAUGAAUAAGGCAGAUUUAUGUCAAACCACCAUGCACAGCUGUUUCAAAGCCGUCAGUUUGAUAACUUUUUUGCUUUUGCAAACGGAAUCCUUUUUUGACAAAUGGGUGGAUAACACUUUGACAUCACCGCUGACUAUAUAAAGCACAAAUGCAGAGUUAGUGAUGUUACCCAUUGGUUUCAAAAACAGACCACCUCCCUUAAUUUGGGUGCAUCAGUCUUUGUUUGCAUCCUCUCAUUCCGCCGUUUAACUGGAUGAGCACACAUGGUUCAUAAAAAGGCUGCUCCCUCUGAAAUAUUGCUGGGGAAGGCAGAGUGGGCUGUGUGUCUCAGUGCAUUUGUAACUUUGCUCAUGCGUGUGUGAGCUUUCAUGGUCCCCUCUUCUGACGCUAAUGCAAGUUUGCAAUGAUUGUGGGCGGUUUGUGAUUUAAUGUGGUGUUCACAUUGGAUUAGAAUCACAUCACACAGCCCCUUCAAGGAUAAUACUUGCUCUGUGUUUCCCACUUUCUCUCUUAAACACACAUGCUUCCAGACAUGCACACACGUUCACAUACAAUACUCCACAGAUGUGCUGUAUUUGAAGAGGUGAAUCAGUAUUUCUUUAAGAUUAGAUGUAACAGCGUUGUCGGAAACCCUCCAAAGAUAAGACACAUGACAAAUCCUUAAGGAACUUAUUUGUCUUGGUUACAGACACUGGUGAACUGUCCUGUUAAAUAUUAAGUUUAAUGUUAAGGUCCACCCAUUAAAGGGUUUUCGAAUGCAUAUCUCUACUACCUUUUAAGAUUUGAAAACACAGAUUGCAUCUUAGAUAUAGUAAUUAGUUUUGAUUGGGUCUCAUUUUGCAGCUGCCACUCCUGGUCUUUUUUGACCAGAGAUAUUGAUAAAACCUGUAAAGAUCUGAGAGACAUAUCGAGGGAAUUAUCAGUUCUCAAAAUGUAAGAGUACCUCGUAGGACAGUGGAGAAUUGGUAUACAUAUGGGGCAGUCCAAAUCAAUGAGAUGUUUAAUGCAUUUUGAAACCCCUUAUAUACAUCAAAAGGGUAGGGGUGCACUGAUUCCAUAUUUGAUAUCGGUAUCUGUCCCGAUACUGGAGAAAAUUCUAGAUGUGGUAUUGUGACAAUGGGCCCGAUGCAUAGGGGCCAAUCUAUUCAGUCUAACUUUAUGCUAUGGGCUGUGAGUGGCAUCCAUAAGUUAACAUGAUGCCCACAUUGUUUUUUAAAAUGGAGCGAGCAAAGGGGUCUGCUAUCUUAACCUUUAUCACAAUAUCUUGUAGGCCAUCAAGCCUACAACCUGCGCAGUAAACCUUCCAAGGGGCAGUGGUGAAACUUCAGGUUACAAGAAAAAGGUAAUACAGCGCGGCUUUUCUGUAACGGAAUUAAAUUGGUAUUGGCUGAUACCAAACGUACAUAUCUGUAUCGAUAUCGGAGGUGAAAAAAGUGGAGUGGUGCAUCCCUGCGAAAAGGUGAUAUCUACCUGAUAUUUGACCUACCUUGUCUGAUGUCUGUAUUUUCAGGGAUGUGUGAGCUGAUAUGGAUACUAACAUAUCUAUAUUUACCUUUUUCAUUGUACAGUACACCAAGUUUCUCCUAAAAUAGCAUUUAAUCUUAUUAUGACUAUGCUAUUUUUUUAGAAACAUACAUAAAACAAGACAAACACCUAAUUCUGCAAUAAAAGAUAAUUGAUAUAACCUACUGAUACCAAUACUGUGCCAAUAAUAUCUUUCAUUCCUUGAAAAUUUUACUGCUGUCCUAUGUGUAUAAUAUUGAUGUUUUAUGCACAUAGAAAAUACCUGUGUGGUCCGCAAAAGUAUACUUGAAUUGACGUAUUUCGUGGCCCCGAUUCUACAUGGUUCAGCCAGUCAUAUGCUUCAAAUCAGGUUGGUUUAUCUCAGGGUCAAUGUGAGUGAGCUCUACAUAUGCACUCUUCCCCCUCAUCAGUUUCUUCUUAUUCAUUCAAGGAGUUUUUCCAAGUAUCUGAUCUUUGAAGAGACCUCUCAUUUAUACUUGUCACAGUCAUAUCUAACUUUGAACAAGUUCUCUUCCACUUUUUUCAGAACUUGUUUUUUUAUUACUCAUCUUCCACAAACUUUACCUUUUCCUUGACUCUGUUAUGUCACCGUUGAGUGUCUUUGCUGACUCAUGUCGAAGUUGUGCGUACUUCUCAGGAAUACUUUGUGGUUGAAGAUCCUCAGGCUUUGUCUCUUUUUCUAAGCCUUUGAUUACACAACCUAGUUAAUGCAACCUUCAGAUCUUAUUUGUGUGGUGAAAGCUAAUGCGUAUACUCACCCACUCACUUAAUUGAAUGCUUCAUAAUUUGCAUAGUUUUCUGUAAAUACUGUGUUUAAAAAGUGGAAAACUUUAGUAAGAAUUCAUGUUCUGUGAAUUAAGUACGACUAUUGAAUCAGAUGGGAAAAUGUAUGUUUUUGUGUCUACAUCUGUGACUAUAGGCAUCUUUGUCUACUUACUUGUUCUUUUUUACCUGUGCUGCUCAUAUUUGGUCUUGAGUUUAACAUUCUGCUUACAGAACAGGUUUGCUACAAGCUGCAGGAUAGUUUGGUCAUGAUUUUUGCACUUCAGUAUCACAUGAAAACAACAACCCAGAGGACAGCUUUAAGAGUUUUUGCCAGAGGGUAACCUUUUACAGUCAGAUUUUGAAGCGUAGAGCCGCUGACAAAGCUGCCACAGAAAGAUGUGAGUGAGGUUAUCCCGGAGAGUGCGUGUGGUUUCAGUGUGAGUAUGUAUGCUUGUGUGUUUGUGGCCAGGAGGACUGCCGACCCCAUUUGAGUUCACACUUCACAGACCAUCACGCGGAUAAAUCAAUUUCAAGGCUUGCGGAAAAAUAAUGUAUGUUUUGCGCGUGUGUGUUUAUGUGGUAGUGGGGGGAUUUAUGCAAACAAAGCUGCGCCGGCAUAUUCACAUGCCCCAGUUGCUGUGUAAAAAUAUGCACAUACCUCUCUGCACACAUGAUGGAUAAAUGUGUGCAAAUUUGAUCCAGUGCACAUGUGGAUUCAUUUGCAUAUUGCAUACUUGCGCAGCUGCAUGCAUAUCAGGGCUGCAGCUGCCGCCAUCAUCCAUCAUAUAGGUGAGCAGGGAGACACCUUUAAUGGGUCAUCUUUACCACCACAUUAUCUCCCCUGCAGAUAUUUCAUUAUACUGAAUGUGCUGCUGUAAUAAGAUCUAGACCUUACCACCAACCUGUAGGGGACGAAGAAUCCUCCACUGUGUCUGAAUCGGCCUCACGGUUUAAUCGAGCUCUAAAGCAACAGCACAGGUGAUAUAAAACUUGAGGUCAGCAGGGAUUUUGCAGAAAUCAUCACUAAAAGUUGCUGUUGAGCAGUUAUAGACCAUUGAUAGAGGCCGGAGGUAGGCACAGCGUCAGUGAAUGAUAAACUGCAUUACAGCUUCAGCUCAUCACGAAAGUGGUCAUAAGAAGUUACAGCGCAGAAAAGAGUUUUUUACCACUCACUGGCCAGUUUAUGAGCAGUCAUUUAACAUGAUUUAUUUUCUCUUUUCAAGGUAAUGAAAUCAAGUUAGCAGGAUGAAACUUUAUGUGGAACAACAAUACUCAGUACUUAACAAACUAAUAAGUGGAGCUUUAAUAAAGUUUGUCUUCUUCUUUGUUCAUAUUAUGAUUUUUUUAUUGCCUUUUUAUUUUUUCCCCUUUUUUCCUCCCUGUACUUUAUUUCUUUUCUUAAAGUAAGUCCCCAUUACGAAGCCCCUGAAGGGACAUGAAGGAAAAAAAAAAUUUCUCAAGAUUUUUUAUGAGAUCUCGCAAAUGUUGUCUCAGAAGUUAGUGGUCAGUGUGUUACUUCCGGGUCACUGAUUUAAUAUCUUUUUAUCGGAGGCCAGUCUCAAAAAAGAUGCAAUGAAUCUUUCCCACAGGUUCAUGCAUUCCAUUGUUGGGUUGACUCGACAGAAGAAAUACACUGAUCUAUGAUCUUUUUACUUAUAACCCUUUGACAACUUUACGAGAUCUUGCAAUAGUUUUACGAGAAAUCGAGAAAAUCCUAUUUUUUUCCCUCAUGUCCCCUUAGGGGCUCUGUACACCAUCUUAUUUUCUCCUUCUUCAAUAUUUCUCAAUUUUCUCAUCCUUUUUUCCUUUCUUUUUUCUUUUAUUUUCAUUUCUGCCAAAUUUUCUAUUUCCUUUUUAUUUUUUCCUAAUCUUUUACGUUUAUUUGUUUUAUUUUUUCUCCUUUAUUUUCUUUUCCACAAUAAAGCAUAAACUAGAAGAUAAACCCUCCUCUUUGUCUUUUACUUAACUUUUUUCAUUUUUCCAUCUUUAAAUCCUUCUCUUUUCUCCUUUUCUUUUUUGCUUUUUCCUAUUUCUUUUCUUCUUUUCUUCUCUUUGUGUUGUUAGUGGUUUGAUCUCAUCACUGAGAUUGUUUGGGCCUUUCUUGUGGCUGUUGUGUGAAAAUGAUGACCGCUUAUAAUGAGAAAUGAAACAUUCAAAUAUUCUUACAGGUUGCAAAUCCGCCUGUAUUUAUUCCCCUGAAUUCACAGAAUGAUUUCCAUGGAAAAUUUCCACCACUCCAUGUCUGUACAGAGUUUUAUGAGCUCCAGUAAAGUUCGGUGUAUUUCUGUCCGUCAGUUUUUAUCCAUCCUCCUCCAGCAGUCUGUGAAAGAUGACUCCGGUGUUAACACCAUGAUCAGAGUCCCUCACCCUGUCUCUUUCUCCUCCUCUGUAACAUACAAAGUAAUUACAUCUUUUUCCACUACACACACACACACACACACACACACACACACACACACACACACACACACACACACACACACACACACACACCACACCCUCGUCUCCAGGCUCCAAAUGUCAGCCUCAUCAGCUCAAUUAUCCCCUGACUUAAACAACAUCCUUACAUAACCCAUUUAGCUCAGUGCUGUCUGAGAGCUCAGAUAAAUAAACUUCCUUUUCCAAAUUAUUGUUUUUACCUCCAAUCACCUGCAAAGAAAACCCAUUUAACUAGACGGUGUUGCAUAAAACACUUUUUCCUCUGCCCCUCCUCACACACUCACUCACUCCUGUGAAUUAUAACAUCCUCUUAAAAAUUCUUCAGAGGAUUCGGCUGAGCCUGUUUUCUCAACCUUUUUCUGUGUAUACAUUGUAACAUCCAAAGGUCAAUGAAAAACUGAAUCAUUCCUGUGAAUACAUAAUUUUCUUAUUCAUGAACUUCCUGAAAUAGAUCCUGUCACUCAACCAUUUUCAUUCAGAUUUCCCUCUCCACUCUCUUUAUUCCCAUUCCCCCACUGAGCACAGCAUUAUAUUUGUAGUUCAGGAUUUAAGGAGGAAAGAUUUACUUUGAUGCCAGAGAAGACGUAUGAUCUAUUUUUGGCCAACAGCACAUGAGCGUCACGUGCCUGGUAAUAAAAACACCCUUGAUGUUCACCCUUAGUCUCAUAGAGGCAGAAAAAGCUGCACAUGCAUACAUAAUAGGGGGAAAACUAUUUUGAGAUGACUUUUUGUCUCUCUCUCUCUCUUUUCGACAGUGCGAUUCAUUUGCCUGCUGGUGGAAAAAUAGAUGUGAAUCACUCACUGUGGCUGCUCUCCAACAUCCAUUCACUCUGUGCUCUCCAUGUUUCUGUUCUGAUUUAUGCCGUUGAGCAGUCAUUAUGACUUUCCGCCUUUGCACAUUUUUGCAUCUCUUUAUUCGCUGCCUUUAUUCUUUCAUUUGAUCUUUUCUUUCUGCUCAGAAUUCAAAUAAAUGAAACAAAAAUGUACCUGUGCUGUCGUGGAACUUAUAGUCCUUGUGUCCAGGCUGAAUAUUUGGUGGUAUGGUUAUUCUCUGAGCUCCCUGCCCUUUCAUGUGCAGACAUGGAACGGCAGAGACUGUGGCAGGGAGAGCAGCAGCAAAGACCCUCAGGGGACAGAUUAGGUAGGACAUAUGAUACUCUUAAAAUUGGACACAGCAUAAAAAAGGAGCAACUGUGAUGGAAGUGUGUUGCAAAGCAGUUUUCAGAGGAAGCAGCCAGAGAAGUCAGGCUGAAGCAGUUCAAAUAGGAUACCCAUUUUGACAUGGGCCUAAUGAGGAUUGAUUGACUGUUUACAUGGGCACAAAUAAUUGGAAUAAAGGCCAGAUCAGAAUAAAUAAAGCGUAAUGUAAACAUGUCGAUCGGAAUAUUCUGAUCCAAUUCGGCUCAAUUGGAAAGAAAUUGCAUUCCGAUCUUGGGGGGUGGUUUAUGAUGAUCGUUAUUCCGAAAGACAUCCAUGUAAACACUUAUUCUGAUCGUGACUCUCUUACCUGACUCGAACUUCACUCUUAAGCCUUUGGCUUAUUUCUUUAAGGCAAGUUCAGGAGGUUUCAUUAUUAACACUCUGACAUAAAACACAACUGCAGGUACCGUGUCUGCUCCUCCGGUAACAUAACAAGGCGUACAUACAGCGUAAUGAAGUCACAUCUGCACGCACAGUACAACCUUUGACAGAACAGUAAAAAAAGUACACAAGGACGUAGUGGUGCAACGGAUCAUCACUGAUCCGUGAUCCGUUCGGAUCGACGUCUUCGGUUCGGCACACACGUGAUCCGCGGAUUGAUUUCUGAAAAAAAAAAGUUUUGCUCCGUCUGCACAAAGCUUUUGCCUAGCGGAGAAAGGAGGAGGGCAGACAUGGCGAGCGGAGGAAAGGAGGAGCUCGAGCGCCCCGCGGGACUUAAAUCCCCUGUAUGGGAGCAUUUUGGCUUCCCGGUCACUUAUGAUGGUAAAGGAAAGAGGUCAGUGGACAAAACUGCGACGGUGUGCAGGCACUGUGACUUAAGAAAGCCACACGAAAGUGGAAACACGUCCAGCUUAUUCACGCAUUUGAGGCGACAUCACCCAGGUGUUGUACUGACCGGAGAUAAACCAAAAGCUGCCCAACAACCGCUAAUCACCGCAGCGUUUAAGCAGCCUCUUCCUGCACAAUCUGACCAGGCUAAAGCGAUUACAAAUGCUAUCGGUGUAUUCAUUGCCGUAGACAUGAGGCCAUAUUCAGUAGUGCAGAUUGAGGGCUUUCAAAACAUGCUGAAGGUGCUGGAGCCGCGUUACGAAAUCCCGUCGCGCACACACUUCAGUGAAAAGAUAGUUGUUUUUCGUUAAUAAUUAUGUUCAAAAGAAGUUAUUAUGCCUUGUGCACUACUUUUAUAUAUUUUAAUUUAAUCAUUGAAGUGUUUAAUAAACAGACAAAAGUUAUGUUUUUUUGUCUUUUUUUUUUUUUGCUUUUUGCUGAUCCGAAAAAUGAUCCGAUCCAUGACUCUUGAUCCGAGGAACGAUCCGAUCCGUGAGUUUUGUGAUCCGUUGCACCACUACAAGGACGUCAUCUAGUGACAAGAUUUAACAGGGGGAAAACUCCUGAACUGGAUGGAGUGAGCCACGACCGUGUUUGUUGAUUUUUUUGACAGUACAGGCAUAAAUACAACUCUUCUUCGUCUGCGGUUGUUUUAGCAAAAUCAGACAACUCUGUGCAUGUUUAAAUGCUUCUAAUCUGAAUAAAGCUUAGUGCAUAUAUACGCACGUCAUGAUCAGAUUAUUUGACUUUGCGCCCAUAUAAACAGUGGAUUCAUAAUAUCCGAUCCCUCAAAUUUUUAAUCGGAUCGAGAAAUUUUGCGCAUGUAAACAUGGCUUUUGCAUUACUUAUCCUUAAAAUUGAUGACUGCCUUACAUUGAUGCUUUUUUUGUGUGAACAGUAGACUUACCAGGAUAAUUUUGCUAAAUUCUAAACACUCAAAAGUCAGCUCAGCCUUUCUUGACACUUUUUACAUGAACAGAGUGUAAAGCAGUGAUUUUUUUUAACAGUAAAUUGCUUUAGUCUGAGUUUUUACCAAGUUUAUAUUGACAUGAGAAGAAGACCACAACCUGUAAACCUCCUAUGAGAGGUUUUUGUCACGUUUAUAAAAUAGACUGAAACUCAUAUUGGUGUCCUUUCAUGAUACAUGACAUCGAACAAUAGGUUAACAAGUUUGUUUUCAAACUGGCAGCAUCGCAGAGGGAUAUUUCCUGCUAAAAAUACGUACAACUCAAUAUAGAAACACUAUCAUGAUAUAUUUUCUCGAUAAUGCCCAGUCCUACCUGAUGUUACUUAACUCAAUUCACAUGCUUCCAGACAUCCUCUCUUUCCCCUCACUGCCCCCUCCUCUCUGAGGGCACCCUGAGUAGCCUGUGUGAUGUAAUUGUGUAAGAGAGUCCUGUCACCGAGGCUGAGAGGAGAUUAUAGAUAGAAACAGAGAGCGGCUCCGACAGGACGGUGGUAGACUGGGGAAGGGAUUUCACCGAUGCCUCUAAUGUUUUUGAAUCUCCUGUCAUGCCCUCUCUGUCAGCUUUCAAAAACCUAUACAUCUUCCUUAUGAUACCUCUCCAAACUAUUUUGGCGCUGUCUUGAAACCCCCUUUUUUUCUCAAAGUGCAGGACUGUCAAAAGGCUAUAUAGGGUCGUUAAAAUGCAAAAGACAGACUUUGCUCCUUGGCAAACGUUAUGAGGGUGACUGAGCUUUGAAAAGGGUUGAAAAGCAGAUUUUGUCACAUAAAAAAACAGAGCCAGACGAGUGCUUUCACCCCCAUUCCUUGUCUAAAUGCUAAUUUGAGCUAAUCAGCUGUUGGGUGCAGCCUUAUUUUUAGUUUAUGGAGAGAGUGGAAACAACCCUCCCUCGCUUUGGUUGCCAAAAAAUGUACAUCCCCAAAAUGAAUAAUUAUUUUCCCUCAAUAUAAAAUACAACCAGGAGCUUGUGCUUCAGAGUAUGGAAACUUAUUAUUAUACUGCAGUUAUUGUGACAGUCAGUGAUGUGUAAUGAGUCAGGAUCAUUCAUACAAAGAAACUUAAUUUGACAGAAAAGAAAGAUCAGAGUCAUGAUGAUUAAAAAUUGAGGAUCAGUACCAAAUAAAACUUUAUAAAUAAUAAAGAGGCAAAAAAAUGGUAGGAAAGCACCUCCAUUAUUUAUUAUGGAGCAGUUUUUGCCCCACAUUAAAAGACAACAUCUGCACUUUGAGAGUCGGGCUUGAUGAGGUUUGUUGUCCUGCAAUGUUGGAAUAAGUGUGAGGCACAUUUACCUUGAUGUCCCCCUUUUAAUUUUGUCAAUAAUACUUUACGUUUUUGCUGCAAUAAGCCGCUUCAUGCAUCCAGAUGAUUCACUACCUAAAAGUAAUUAUUCAAUUAAUGUCAUUAAAAUUGCAUCAUCUGCUAUACAAUAUUUGCUGCAUGAAUUUAAAUGACAUUUUUGCAGCAUGCAAGAGAUGAGAGAGGUAACCUCUCUCUUUAUCGCUAUAAACAAUUCUGGAUCAAACACUACACAGAGGCUGAGACUCUUAUCUAAAUAUAGCUAUAGCUACAGUUUAAAGAAAUGCUUGUGUAAGCAGCUUUUUGCAUUACAAAUGCAUAGGAUGCAUAAAAAGCACAGUUACAGAUCAGAGCAGAAAGUAUCUCAUGAAAUCCUAUUGGGAAAAAAAAUGCUGCUGCAGUCACUUGCUGUCUCAUGGUAAUUGAGGAUGACUGAAUCCUGCGUUAAGUGGAAGCAUGUUUGACCUUUGGUCUGCGUAAUCAGUGGUUAUAAAUGGAUAUUUCGCUUUCUAUAUAUUUCUAAAGUCUCCUGUCAACCAUACCUCCUCUUCCUUUGCUGCUUCUUGUCCACUAACUCCUGCAGCCUCUCCUUCAGCCUGAGCAUCAUCAACUAUGACACCUCUCAUCCUCUGGAGCAUUUUGUUAAUGAAACCAGUUAGAUUAAGGCGCUUAAAGGUAAUCGCUGCAUUUUUAUGGUUGCAUUUCUCUCUCCAAGUUGUUCCCCCCUCGCUCCGGCCUAUUCCCCUCACUCGGUUUAUUGCCCAUUCCAGCUAAAUCCACACAACCCUCUGUGCUAUUGUAGAUAACCCAGCCUUGGCUCGCAGUCUCAGGGAUCUGUCACUGCAGCAUUAUAGGGAACAUAAUGUGCAGGCAUGACACCAGCCUUGACACCUACAGUAGGCCUUUAAAACGUGGGGUGUGAGCUGCAUGCAGGGCAAAUAUUAAACUGUGUGUUCCCUGAAUUUGCCUUCAGGGAGCUAAUGGCUUCGGUUCAUUACCGGAGUCAGCUUAGUGGUGUUUUAAAGCCUGAUUACUCUUGUGUGUACAUCAACACUGUCCAAUCCAAUCACCGCUAUUACUCUGCAGAGAAUAAGUGUAAUGUACUUUUUGAGAACAGGAAACAGAUGCAUCAUGAGUCAUUUAUUUCUGCAUUUGGAUGAGUUAUCACCAACUUGUUUUCCCUCUGCCGAAGCAAAUGGCCAAAUCUGUUCGCAAUUUUGUGUUAUUCUGUAGUGGUGUUUUGUCAUAAUCAACCCUCUGACUAAAACAUUUUCAAAGCAAGGCAUGAUAUAUACGUACGUGCAGCUGUUGGAGCAUAAAUAAAUAAUUAAAUAAAUAAAGAAGCCCUGAGGGGUUUUCAAUAUUGAAGCUGCACAUUAUCCACCUUUUAACAUGGCUAAGUCAUUGAUAAUUUUACACAAACUUUUAUUUGAAAACAGCUUUAUUCCACUAGAAAAAAAUAAGAUAACACUUUAGAGUAACCAUAAUUUAUAAAUGGUAAAUAGAUUAAUUAGUUUAGUUAGCUACAUUAAUAAUUAGUUUAUUAAUGUAAGUUAAUAGUAACUUUACCAUUAACAAGCAAUGCAACUAUGAUUAUUAAUGGACUAUUUAUAAAAGGUUUAUAUAGGGUUUGAAUAUUGGUUGUAAAACAUCUAGAUUAAAAUGUGUGUCAGUAGCUAUUUGUAAAUGGUUAAUAUUUGUUUUUUAAACCAUCUUUAAACAUUACUUAGAUGAUUAUUGUAAAGUUGCAACUGAUGUUUGUAAUACUUUGUAAAUGAUUAAGAAGUGGUUUUUACACCACCUAUAAACAUUACUUAGAUGGUCAUUGUAAAGUUAAGGUUCGGUUUAGGGUCAGGGUUGGGGUUAGGUUUUUAAAAUUGUAAAAUUUACAAUUUAUCAGUGGUCUAUAUACUAUUUAUAAAUGAUGAUUAAACAAUAAAGUAUUUGCUUACCAUUUAAAAAUGGUCUGUUUACCAUUUAUAGGUUAUGGUUAUUUUAAAGUGUUACCAAUUAUAAAAAUUCCCCUAAAUAAUAGAGGGUUAGAUGUCAUAUAAACUGCAUCGAUAACACUGAUAAACUCUUCAAAACCAUUAUUUUAUUUCAUAUUAGAGCUCCUGAUUUUGUUUUAGUGAUAACAAAGGUGAAAUUAAUGCAGAUUCUUCUGUUUGGCCUACAAAAGCAAAUAAGACUAGAUAGAAGGCAUUUCUAAUUUCCUUAUAGGCUCUCUGUGUACGGUCGUUACUAAAGUUGGUAUAACUAGAGAAGCAAGCAGUCUGUAACAUUCAUCUCUCGAUGGGGUGUCUAACUCGGUGCUACAGUAUGUUUGACCCUAACUUAAUUUUAUGCUGGAAUAUCCCUUUAACACCCGAAUUAAAGAGUGUUGAAAUCAACUGAACAAAAAUUAUAUAUUAAAAAAAAAGAUUUCAACAUCAAAAGAGGAGUUAUGUCAUACAGCAGUAAGAGAUAUUAUUAGCCAAUAACAAAGGCUAGUUUAUUCAUGAAGCAUACUACAUACAUCAUAUAGUAAAAUCAAACAUGAAAAAUUAUAUCAGUGCAACAAUAUAUUCCUCAGUGUCCUCUCACUUAAAUUGAAACCUGUCAUUAAUAAUUUACCGUUGUCUUUUGAAUUCCCAGGAUUAAAAAGAGGAAACUUUGGCAAAUCAUAAAAGAAAAUAUUCACAGCGAUCCAGCAGAAGUUGAGCGUAAAGCUGCUUUUUUUAUAUUUCUUAAGAUAUUUUCCAGAAAACCACAGUCUGUAGAGCACCGAUGAGGCAGGGAUUAUCAAAUACUGGAGACUGAAGGUGCUGCCAGCCAGAAGCCUCCUUGCCCUUUAUCAGACUGCAGAUAGCAUCUCAGAUAACCUCAAAAGACAGAAGGAGGGAGAGGUAGGAGGGAGGAAAAAAGGACUUAGCAGAAGUUGUCGAGAGGGGAGGAAAGUCGGGAGAGUUUGCUACAGAUUUGUCUACCUAAAGUUGUCACUUUAAGGUUAAUGAAUGGUCCACUGAGAGACAAACAAUGUCCCAUGCAGGCUGUCCAUUAUGUUGAAAUGUUUCCAUUUUUAGACCGUCACACUCCUCUAUCUUUGUUUUUUUCUGACUCGUGCCCUUUUGAGUCUGGCUGUCAAUCCAUCUGUCUGUCUGUAUGCCUCUGUCUCCCUCUCCGUCUCCGCCUCAUCUGUCUCUGUGCCGCGCUGAUAAGAAAGUGCCCGCCCUGUCUCGGAGGAGAAACCAUGGAAACGCACCAGCCACGUGUUGACAUCACAGAAUGUUAAAUAUAACCGCCUCCCGUGCCACACACAACUAGUUGUUCUGCCGUUGAUCCUCAGCGGGCUAUAAAUACAUGGUUUCCUUCCCAUAAUUGCAGCUACGACAGGCUUGUUUGGACGGAGGGAGGAAUAGGAAAUGCCAGGGAGAAGGAAACAGUGCGCUGACUUCUCUCUGUCUGUGUGUGCUGCACCACUCUGCAUAUGCGUGUGUCCAUGUUUAUGCCCUCAUUUCUUAUUAUAGCUCAAUUAAAGAGAUCAGUAGAGAUGGCAAAGCUCUGUCUCUCAUGCAGGACAAACACAUUACUAAGUUUCAUGAUAUGAAAAGAGAGUAUCCUAGCUUGGUUUCAACAUUCAUGGUGGGUUUCUUCUCCCUCAAGUUUGUGAAAUACCUGGAUAGAAAUCUUGUUGAGUGAAGUAACCCAGAAAAUGUGGUUGAAACUGCUUUGUGGGGCAUUAUAGGCCAAGCGAUUUAGUGAGUGCACCUCUUGUACACAGUCCUUGUUGCACUGGUUGUUUGUACAUGAUUGCUGGUAACCCACACACACAAGUCUGGUGCUCAUAGUGUGUAAAAAUUCACCACAUGUUAAAAUUAGGACUGGGCGAUUAUAUGAUCGUGAUUCAUGAUCGUGAUAGAUUUCAGUUUUGAUCACAGUGAUCAGCUGUGAGCAUAUUUAAUCUAUCAGACAUAGCAGAAAUAUGCGUAACAACAGCCAAUCAGAGUCGAGCUUUUCCUGCUUACCGCUGUAAGUUGCCGGAGAAAACAGAAUGAUUGAUCGUGGAGCUAAACACUGAGCUGAGGGCAGCAAAAUAGAUGUCAGACUUUGAGUCAUUCUCCGGUGAUUAAGCGGAAAGUGAAGUCGAGCAAUUAAGCCGAUGUGUAAGGUAUGUCGGCGGUCGAUGCCCUCAAAAAACAGCAAGACAACAAAUCUGUUUAAUCAUUUGACAAAGUACUUCCCGAGUGAUUAAGCGGAAAGUAUGAAAAUGUAAGCGGAGUCUGCACAGACUGCCACUGCUGACGGCACAAGUAGCAUUAGCAGUUUAGCCACAACUAGCAGUGCAGCCACAGGCCAAAACAGCAAUUAAUCAUAUCAUCUACGUUUACUUUUUAAGAUGUUUUCAUUAUCUCUGAGGGGGCGAUUUGUUUAUUUUGGAUCUUGCAAACCUGCAAAAACACUCAGGACUGUAAACUAAUUCACUGUAUUAAUUAAUAUUUAUCUACAUUUGUUGUAUUUUUGAGAUAAAAUGUUUUUUAUAUUUUCCUUAGUUUAUCUUAUUCAAUUUGCUUUGUUAUUUACUUUGUAUGUUAAUAAAAUGUUAAACUUAUCUCUAGUUUCUUUAGUUUUUUGUACAGAAGCUUUAAAACUCAGUUUGAAAAAAAUACCCCAAAAAAAUAAUUAUAAUAAUAAUCGAGAUCGGACAAUAUGACAAAAUAUAUCGUGAUUUUUUUUUUUUCAAAUAAUAUAUUUUUACAAUCACCCCACAUGAUGCUAAUACUGUGAAUGAAGUAUGGACCAGAUCGGUGAGAACUGCACAUCAGUCUGGAUUACUUGGCCUUCAUUUCACUUUCUCCACCCUGCACAGUCCUACACAUCUGCACAAGUAAACCAUGAAUGGGUCCCCCCUCUGACACCUGAUCUUUUACCCUAAAUUUACUGAGCAGGAAGCAGGUUUCCAUGGACAAUUCCCUGCUGACAGAGUGAACCGUAUAUUUUUACAUAUAUUCACGGAGGUAUUUUUCUGUUUUAAUUAUUCAUUCCUACCUGAUGAAUUCAGCGACUCUUCCUGGCAGAAUGACCUUCCUUUUUAGUACCUGUCCUCACUGAGGUCGUGGUCUUCUCUCAUGGAUAUUUUUCGCCUGACAGAGGUCCUCCGCAUUAAUGAUUUCUUAGCUGAUAGACUGAACUACCCUUCUUUUAUCAACAAAGGCAAAAAAUAAUCUGUGUUGGAAAACAAAUUUACAUUUUUAUGCUAUAAGAUACAGAUCAAACAAACAAAAUACAUACUAUAGUUAGCUUAACAGAUAUUGGUGGGAAGGAAUCAGUUCUGGACUGUAUGCUUAUGGUAGUGGAGCAGUGUUGAUAGUCCGAAAACAUACAGAGAAAUAAUAAACAAGCUCCUUUUGCAAAUGUCAGCUCCUCCCUGAAGGAGUCACAGAGGUAAAAGGUCAGAAGUAAGGAGCUCAAACUUGAGUCUGUGCCCUGAUGAUGCCAGGUUUGUAGAGCAGCAAGGGAUGAUAUAUUUUAGACUAGCACCUUAUCUGUGUGAUGGACCAAACAAAGAGCGCCUGUCGUUUCACCUUUUCUGCCAAAUUGGAUGAACAUGUACUCUUAGUGAAGCUGACAGCCUGGAUUCGAAACUGGUCCUCUGAGCAGUGAGCCAAGAAAUUAAAAAGUCUGGCGCUACCAUUUUUAUACUUUCAGGCCUUGAGAGUUAACUUGAACAGUUUCUGUAGGUUUAGCAUCGACUACUAUAUACCUCAAAUAUCUGAACUGUGCUGAAGCAGCUCCUCGAUGACCUGGGGGAACACUGUAAGGCUCAGAGAAGUCAAAUAUUUUCUCCAUGCCUGUGACGAUAAGACUGUAGUGUUUGUCUUGAGCCUGCCUCUGUGUCUUUAUGUAACUGUCAGUGCUGUUCACAGGAGAUGCUGUGAGCAGGGAGCAUUGCAUGUUGUGACUCAGUCUCUUAGCAGCCACCUCAUCUUCACAACCCCGCGGGUCCCCAGAGGCCGGUGCAGCAUCAACCAAUCAGAGCAAAGCAGCGCGACAAUGACCGAAAAGCCGAUGCUGGGCUGUCGCCAGCCGAGAAAUAGGUUUCAGUCCAGGAAAUGUCAGGUGUGUUGUUGUGUGCACUGUAUGUGAAUUUAAUAGUCUCUGAGUGUGAAGUGAGAGCGUAGCUGUCUCACUAUAGACACUGUAUAUGUGUUGAUAAAUAAGUGUGCCUGUGCUUGUGUUGCUUUCUCCAGGAUUGUCUCCCACACUUUAACAUUACAGGGGUUAAAUAGGUUAGUAUUUUUUUAUAGAAACUGUUUUGUUACUGAGAAGAACAAAAUGUUACAGUGCAAAAAUCAACCAGACAGCUGGGAGUUAUAUUAUCAUACAGUUGAAGCCAUUUGCUUUAACAUAGAGACUUCCAUUAACAACAUGUUUAUAUUUGUGUUUUUAUGUGUUGCAGCUCUUUUCACUGGGGAUCUGUUUUUCUUUGCUCAGCAGUAUAACACCAAAUACACAUCAAAGGUUGCUUUAAAAGUUUCCUGCUGACUUUACUCUCUUAAGUAUAGAUAAGUUUGAAUAUAUAAGCAAAAUGUGUCAUACUCAUGAGUCCACAAAGAAAGGCCAGCCACCCGGUUCAGGUGACUCAGACACACAGAGACAAUCAAGCAGUGGUUUCCUUAUGUGUGUUAAGAGCAGGUUUGGACCAAUUUCAUCAUAAAGUAUCAAUUAUUUGCAUGCAACAGUUGUAUUUGGUCAUAAUUUCUCUGUUUUUAGAUUUCCCGCCUUUCCAUGUGCUUAUGCCAAAGCCUACAGUGGGAGAGCACAUCCUCUCAAACAAAUUGCAGACUAAGAAUAUGCAUUUUAAGUAUGGAGGCUUUCAUGAUAAUGGAAAUGGAGUUUUAGCCGACCUCAGUGGUAACUUUUAAAAACACCCUCUACAUUCGGAUAUCUCUGAAACGCCACAGCCACCGUUGCCAACAGCAAUUCAGGGGUUUUCAUUGAAAACAUUGACUUGAUUUUGACAACAGAGGCUGCAGCGUCUCAGAAAUAUCCUGAUCUGGGUUACCGUUAAGGUCGGCUCAAAUGCCAUUUGUGUUAUUAUGAAAGAAACAUCUUUGCUUUGAUAACGAGAUAACAAAAAAAUAAUGAUUCAAGAAAACGAACUUUGUUAUAUUGACAUAGCUAGAUAAUAAUUAGUUAUCAUGAGAUAACAGUGCAUUAAAAAAAAGAAAAAUCCAUGGCUGUGUCCAUUUUCGAAAUUAAGAGCACAUUCACUUAAAAACUGCAGCUUUUUGUUUCCUCAAAAUAAAAGCAAGUACAAGUCAAAAUCAAUGCACACCGUUAAUCUUUGACUUUUUUUUAUGAUAGAGUAUAUAAUGGUGAACGAGUGGUUGUAUUAUAGCAACUUCUUUUUUUGAAAAAAAACUGCUCCAAGAGACAGAAUCAAGAAAAUUCAUAGACUCAUGAUGUUUUCACAGAAUUUCUUUUUAAAGUUGAGACUAAAUCUUGCUAAAGAUAAAAGUUUUUCUCAAAGCAUCUUAGCCCUUAAGAGAGCCCUGAAGGUGGAAGGCUGUUAGGAGUGGUGAAGAGGACUUUUGAGAAGCUUAAGAGAUUCUUAGGCAGAGGAGAAAAUACAAGAAAUACAUCAGGAGAGGAGAAAUGUUCUCCAAACACUGAAUGUAAGUGAGUUCAUUGUACGCUACAGGCUGGACUGUGCAGUGAUCGUGUUUGCGCUCACAUCUCCCAGCUGAUGCAACAAUGCAACAUGUCUGGAAAUUAAAGUGGUCAAAACAUUUAAAUGUUUGACAACUGGGAAUAUGCAAUGGUUUUACUUAAGCUUCUCAAAGGGUGUGCCUUAUGUUGGGAGGCUUAAACAAAGCCAAGAGAGAACAGAGCCGCAGUGGCAGAAACUAGAUGCACAAAUCGAUUAAAACAAGAUUAGAGGGAUAAUAUUUAACAUGAGAUGUUGCACUGCAAUCAAUGCAUUACAAGAGGAAGAGACGCUAUCUGACAUCACUCUCUUCUUGUACUGAAGGGUGCAGAGCAAUUAACCACUAAGUUUAUUGAUCUUACUGCAGAUGCUGAGCGUACACAGGAUUACAUAGGGGGAUGCAUUACUGAAACUGCAAUAAAACACAGUAUCUAUGAUCAGGCUGGUCAGUUUCACCUUUCUUCUACAGCUGUGUUCACUAAGAAAUUACUCUUUUGGAUCAGCCAAUCACAGCUUCGGAGAGACUGAGUCAUACCGACAGCAACAGGGUCAACCUUACUUCUUCACUGAGAUACAAGUUUCUGUCUCUAACUUGAUCAGAGAUGCUUAGAGAUCACUCCUAGUCUAGAGCUCAUUGCAUAAAAUUUUUAAGCAAAAUAAGGACCUCUCUCGGAUGAUUCUCCCACUUUUUGUUAAAUACGGGCACAGAUGUGUCACUAUGCCACAGUCACACGGACGUAUUUUUGUUUACUCCAAAAAAACCUCAUCACCCUCCAAAUGUGCUGAAAUGAACAUGCUCAUAUCAGAGUAGCAGACACCGCAUUGCACGUCAGAGACCACAGUGCUGCAGUAGUUAAGCGGGUCCAUGUGAGCAGACAGUGACUAAGCCUAUCUUUUGUCCCCUGUGUUUUCUUUCUUUUAUUCACAGUAUCUUGUGAAAAGAUGACUAACACUCAAUUGGAACAUGGGUCAUGGGUUGCGCCUAAUAGAAAAUUCUGCCUCCAACAUACAAUAUAAUGGACUGGCUGCCAAACUUGGACUGCACUCUGUACAUAAUAAAACCAUAAAUAGAGCUAUUGAGUUUUGCAUUGUGCCUGCUGACCUCUUUUAUUAUGUCUUAAAUGCUGUAGCGAGGCAGUCUGAACAUACUCACAGUACAGGCAGCCGUUUCAGAGAUAAGCCAUGUCAGAGUGGUAAUGUAGGUCAGCGGAGAUGGAGAGGAGUGCAAAGGUCAAAUGUGAGGAGCAGGUUUAUCUCCUAUGUGAGUUCUUUGAAUUCCAGCCUGCUGAAUUUAUACCCCAGUUUGAGCAAAGAGACUUUUGGGAGAAGUUUGGCGGUGCUUUAUUUAGAAGCAUGACCCGCUUAAGUGAUGGCUGAAGUCUUGGGCAGGGAGAGAGCAAGGAAGUAGGCUGAGCGAUGUUAACCCCUUCAUUAGGGGUGUACUAGUUUCAUCAUUUCUUUUGUUUAGCCCUGGAGAUGUUUUGGACCACUUAUUCCUCCCAAUGCCUUUCCCCGGACCUAGAUUUGAGUGGGAUUGGAAGAUAUCUACAUAGUAAUGGCAGGAAUACAAUGAUUGCUCUUAUGUAACUUUAUACUAUUAAUGGUAGCUUGAUAAAUUGGUAUAUUGACUUACAUGCAGAUAGCUAGUGUUUGGCGGUCUGGCGAUUUCUUAUCAUAUGGCGUACCUUUGGCAGAAGACUCUGCCAAGCUUUUUUGUAUGAGAGGAGCUGCUGCAACUUUAGUUUUAGGUGCAGCAGGUGCGCCACGCAUCUUUUGGCUCUCAUAAUUGAGCUUGGCGUGUUUCAUCUUUAGGUGGUGGAAGAGGUUGCUAGUGUUUCCACCUCCAGCAAUGACAGCCACACGACACGCUCUACAUAGUAUUGUUUUUUGAUCAUUGUCGGAUUUUCUAAAUCUGAAGAAUCUCCAGACAACCGAUGUCAUGACUCGCGCCCUUUUUCAGAAUGAGUUCCUCCUCCUCUUCCUCGUGUUGGGUGGGUCGAGCUGCCUCCGUUUGCUCUGUACUUAAACGCACCCAAACUGAUGCGCUCCAGCUUUCCUGUUAGCGAGUGCAGACAGCUACACACUGACUGAGAGAGAGAUGAAGCAGACAUCUGCUCUCUCUCCAGUCUAAACGGUAUAGCUAACUUCCUACUGGUAGACACUUUUAUACUGGUAGACACUUUUAUACUGUCAUACCCUCAUGCUGCCCGACGCUACAGAUAGCUAAUACAAUUCAGGCUGUAUCAAAGAUCUUUACCAAUACCAGCAUUGGUGAUGGUUUCAUUGGCUGAUAUUGACACCAAUAUUGGUAUCAGCCCCCAAAACAGCUCAAAAACUGUACCAGCAUCCUGGCGUUGGAAUCAGCCAGUACCAGAAGCACCAAAACCAAUGGGUAUCAAUACUGCCAGUAAUACUGAUAUUACAGAAACUGUUGUUGGCACCAGCGUAACACAUUUCAACACAAGCUAUCAAGUGCAGCAAUCACAACUCAUUAAGCUAACACAUAUUCAUGCACCCACACUUACACAUUUCCACCUCCACUGCGUUGAAAUCUCAUCAAGCAGACCCCCCGACCACAUCUUCCUGUGCCCAUCUCUGUUUAUUUCUUCGUGCAAUCAUACCUUACAGCCUGAGGGAUAAUUGCUUGGGGCGCUAACACCAGCAGGACAUUACCAACCCUGCUUUCACUUGAGCUAUUGUGGCCCGUAAAUUGGAUGGUGAAAUUGCCUUUUUGGUUGGAUCUUCUAUACUAUCCAAGCCGGCUAAACCCUAAUCCAUUCCAUUUAGAUUAUAUGUGAGUCAGUGUUGUUCCCCUGUGAUCACAUGAAUAAAUAUGAGGCGUUCACAUGAGCGUGUGCAAUCUACACACCAACUCUCACUUCUUUUUUUGUGAUUCAGAGUGCAGAUAUUUAUAGCACCACAUAUUUGCAUAUGUAUUUGUCAAGUUUCCUCGCAGCAGACAUUCAUUUUGCUGCACACAGUGGUGUCACAGUGAAGGUGUGUGUCUGCGUGGUUGUGUAGAAACUGAUCCAGAGUGUUAAAGGACCUGUGACCUCUGCAGCCAUUCACACCUCGGGCCACUCGCUUCCCUCAAAAUCCCUCCUCUCUAUUCACAGCCAUCUUCUUUGAAGUAUUAAUAUGACAACCAUCGGCACUGCUGCAACAUUCGUCAGUUUCUUCUCGAGGAGUCGUUUUGCACCCUCUCUGACCCAGUUUGAGCUCUUCUCGAGUGCCUGCAUGACUUUGAAAAUGCAAGGCUGUGGUUUGUAACAGCUCAAGAAGAAAGUGGCCGGAUUUGUGAGAUGUCAGGGAUGAAGACAAGUAUUUAUCAACUCAAGCAACACGUCUUCAGUCAGUACUUAUUCAACAGGGAUCAUGUUAACUCUAAUUUCCAUGUGCAUUUGUGCGAUGUGGCUAUAUAAUGCUGCCCUAUUUCUUGUGGAUAUGCUUCACAUUCUGAGUAGGUCUGCAGUAUGUACCAAUUAUAUUUGACUAAAUACAAGAUCAGAACCAAAUACAAGACAAGAGUGUGAAUUAAUGGCACAGCCAAAAUGUUUACUGGUUAAUUCAAGUCUACUUCACCCUCCACACAUUUUGGAAACAGACUUACUACCCAAAAAAUCUCAACAACUUUAAUUUUAUCUCAGUAAAAAUGGAAAAAAUUAAUCAUGUCAAAACUACUUUGACAAGAUAUUAGCAGGUAAUUAGAUCUUAUUAAGACAUAAACUGAUACUGAUUCCUCUUUAUUAGUUGCAGAUGCAACUAUGACCAUAAAAUUGAGGAUUGAAGAUUUUGUUUGUUUUGUGUUGAGUAUGAUUAUGAUUAGUCAAAGCCCACUGAAAACAAUACAUUCGAAAAGGCAAAAGUGACACUAGAUAUUAUCCAAUCACACAUAACAUUAACUAAUCUGAAGGAAGACAUCUAGCAUAGUAAAGGUAAAAAAAAAAAAAAAAUGUACCACACUGACCCAAAUACAAGGCAGGAUUUUUCACCUGAACUAUGUAGUGUCAUCCUAUGAUUGAGGUUUAGUUAUUAAAUUAUACUCCUCAUGACUGAAACCAGACGUCACUUUCCAUUAUAUUUUUAUUUUUAUUUCAAUUAUAAUUGUUUUCAUUGUAUAAAAACAUAGUUGGUCUCCAGAAAGUUUAGGAAGCCAUGAGAAGAGUGAGGGUUGUAUUAAAGUCAUGGUUGUACAAUCGGUUAUUGCACAGUAAUACAUCAUCUUGACCUUGACAGAGACUGAUAAAUAUAUGGUGCUAUGGAAACUGACCACUGAAUUAGACACUGCUUUUUUAGUCGUGUUUCUUAAACAAUAUAAUCAUUUCUAAAUUUACACUUAAGGUCAGUUUGAUUGUGUCUUUGGUGGCAGGGGAAUAAGGGAGAUCAGAUAAAGCGGUGAGGUGGUUAUACAGGUUGGAAACCCAAAAUAAGAUCCCUCUGUUCCACGUGAACGUCCUAUUACUCUGAUUUGCAUUGAUUGUACAUAAUUCAGUAUAUAGGUCAUAUAUAGUUAUGUAUGCCUGUUAUCCCUGCUGUGUUGGACAUUGAUUUAAAGGACAGGAAUAAACAAGGUUACUUCAGUACUGUGAUCAUUAAUAUGUUCUCCAUUGGCUUGAAACCUCUGCCUUGCCGUUUGUUCAUCAGAGUUGUUCUUAAAUCCUUUAAGCAUGAAAGCAAUUUAGUUCAUUUCUCUCCUUCUUUGCACACACGUCUGCUGUGUAAAUGGAGUCAUUGUCACUCAACUCAGGACUGCCAGUUUGCAUCACAAAGCAAGAAUUGUUGUUGGCUGCCAGCCCCACCAAACCCGUCCAGUUUCACUUACAAUUUUCUUGAGACAGAUUUCAUUUUAAUUAGUCGGUACAAUAGAGGACAGUCGUCUCAUUCACUUGGACGACAACAGAAACCUUCAUUCCACCAGCUUGGAUUAAUCAAAUAUUUGCUGGGCUGUUAUUGAUUCCAGUUUGCACUAAAAACAAAUUAAAAACACAAUCUGAAUACAUGUUUUUUAUUCCCUUUACACUUUCCUUUUUUUUCUGUUGUCAUGCCUAGUAGGCAUAAUUUUCAUUUCUCCCCUUGUUUUCUAACUUUUUAGGAACGCAGCCAAAGAAAUACUCACUAAAAUUCCAUAAAAAAUGCCACCAGAUAUUACCACCAACAUAUUUCUAGAAAUCCCUGGAAAAAGAUCCAUUUUGGCGACAUAGAAGUGGGGAGAACAUGGCCCACAGCAGAGCCAACAGAGCACUAUGAUCGAUAGUUUGAUGGUUGGUUGUUAAACAUGCUGUCAGAUGUAUUUAUCAACAUCCUCGAGGUGAAAAAUGGAGUUUAAACCAUGUGAAUAGACUUAGGUUUGGCCGUCCUAAAAAGGUGAAAAUGUAACACAACUCAGACAUGUGAUUCCUUUCUUUUAACAACAGGCAAUGGGGUCACACUCAAAGCCCAAAAAUACCCACAGUGGGUUGGAGGUUGAAGGAAUGUGGGAGUGUGAAUGUGGUGAGGAGGGUGGGCAGAUCUGAAUCAGACAGACUGACAUUUGUAGCUUAGGGUUUCCCCUCAGUUCACCCUGCAGCUAACUUUGCCUGUACUGUAAACCCCCCGCCUCCCCCACCCUUUCACCUUGCUUCCUCAUUUAGGUUUACAUGACAGGAGACUCUUAAAGGGGGGGUUUCACUUCUUUUACUGCUGGUUUUCCUGACCUUAGUCCAGUCAGAGCCAGUCCAACUGGAACUUCCAGAUUGUUUCCAAUAGUAGUGAUAUUAAAAGAAGCAGAUUGACACACAUCCAAGCACUGUCUAUUCUUAGUUAGGUGGUUUUAGUUUAGUGUAUGUGUUUACUCGGGUGUCAUUAAAAAAUCAUUUCAAAAAGAAUAAUUAAAAGUUGCAAGCAAACCCCAAGAAUGGACAUUAUUUCAGUGCAAGUGCUCUUAAAGCUCCUGUAAGGAGUUUUAUUUAUUUAUUUUACAUUUAUGAUAUAGAGACAAAUUCAUAUUAAUCUCUUUUAUGACAUGCUGAAGCAAACAAGACCAUCAGCAUUAAGACUGACCCCUCUCAUAUUGGAGUUUUGAGGACCUGGAACUGUCACGAGGGGGUAGGUGUUCGCUAAGUGGCUGAGAAAACAGCCUUUGUUCUGCAAUUUUGACAUGGAAGAUUUACAAAAUAUGAUCCAUUUGACUGUAACAUGUCAGCAGAAUGAGUUUUUUUCUUUCUUUUUUUUUUUUUUUUUUUUCAAAAGUCACCACCUUAGCAUGUAGUGGAUAAUGUAGGCAAGGAUGUUUUGUCCACAGAGGGCGCCAAAACUGACACAAACCAAAAAGAUCCCCACAGGAGCUUUAAUAAUGGAUAAUUAAUCAACCUGUAAAUACAGAGUACUUUGAAAUGACAAUUUGAGACUCCAGGCUUUUUUCAGUAGAAGCUAUUGGAACAGAAACUGUCUAGGAACUAACAUCAAACUCUCCUCCCUGUGGCUUUGACAAAAUGAUGGUGUGCAUGUCCCUCAGGAGGAACUAACACCUUUUCUAGCACCAAAAGUGAAAACAGAUCUGUCAUAUCCAGCGGUGGAAGAAGUGAUCUGCCUCCAGACUCCACUAGCUGAGAAGUCCAGCAGAAAAACCCUGUGAGCUUAAUGACAUAAUGACUUUAGCUCAGUUGCAAAGGGCAUGUUUAUAUUUCCGAGUGAGUGAUAGAGGAGGGCAGAGCUCUCUCUCUCUCUCUCUCUCUCUCUCUCUCUCUCUCUCUCUCUGAGGGGAUUUUUCCUCAUCAUCUUUGCAGCUGCCUUUCUUAUGACUGUCCCUCUUUUCUGUGCUCUCUCCAAUUCCUUCACUUGUCCACAUCCUUGCAGCCACAUGAUUCCCCUAAGAUCCCACCUCUGACCUCCCACAACCUGUCAUUUCGGGUUUCCAUGGAGACGUAUGACAUGUGGCGUCUUGGCGGGUUAUUUUUAACUCCCAGUGCCAGCUCAGUGCGAUGGAAAAAGGAGGGCUGAAGUCAAACUGCUGGGGGAACUUUUCUGGGGACGUUCAGGGGCUUCCAGAGUCGGGGCUUCCCAGUUGUAGUGAUAUCAUGCCAAGGGUGUCCUAGCAGGAAUGUGAAUCAUCCAGCCUCAUGAUCUGUUAAUGCUGCAUUAUGUCAGCCAGAGCUGGAUGCACACUGCAACCUGGAAAGUCCUUCAACAAGUAGUGAUAAUUGGAGAUGGGGGAUUUCAGCUAGCUUAAAAUGCUAUCUGUGUCCACUGGGUUUAGCUUGUGGGUAUGUUUCCACUUCCUGGUGUAAAACAGGUGGAUGGAUUUAGGCUACUGGGUCAAAGGUUAUCAGAGGAGGAGUAAAAAAAAAAAAGAAGAAUUUCUACUUCACUGUUUAAGGUUUGUCUGUUUGUAAACCUGUUUGUUUGCCUGUUUGUAGAUAAUCUCUUAUCACAGACUUUACUUAAAAAUGUCAAACCAGACUUACUUGAUUAUGACAGAAGCGUUUGUAGUGUGAGGAUUGACCAAUCAGCAGGCUUCAAUGCGAACAGGAAAGCGUGUAGCAUCCUACAGGGUUCAAAUACUUUAAAGGGAUAUUCCGGCGUAAAAUUAAUCUAGGGUCAAACACACCGUAACACUGAGUUAGACACCCCCUCAAGAGAGGAAUGUUGCUGAUCGCAAUACACAGUUGGUCUGAGUAUUUGUUUAUGGCUCCUCAGACGGCUGUGUAUUGCUAUUGUGCGGUUGUUACUGAAGUUGGUAAAAUUAGAGAAGCAAGCGCUCAGCAUCAUUCAUCUCUCGAGGGGGUGUCUAACUUGGUGUUCCGGUGUGUUUGACCUUAAAUUAGUUUUACGCUGGAAUAUCCCCAUAAUUGGCACUAUAAUCAGAAAUAAGUGUGCAAUUUGCAGACAUAGCUAGAAGGGAGGAUCUUACUUUGGUUCUGAUCUGAUCCCAGGGGCACCCCUUAUGUAGCUUGUUGUAUGCAGUGCACAGAAAAGCACAGAAAUGUUAUAUUUGCAAACUUUGUGCUAAAUCAGAGUCACAGAGAAGUUGAUCAUUGUUCCCAAAGACAAAUAUUGUCACUGAAAGUUGCCUGCUGCCAACAGAUUGAUAUGUUGGUUCAAACUUUCUGAUUCCAUUUUAUUUUUGAGGCUUUUAUAACUUGUUUUUUUUCCAGAGUACACACUUCAUAGCAAUCCAUCAUUAUUGUGUAACACUGCUGCAUGUUUUGGAGGAAGGAUAGCUGAGAAGGUUGAUAUCAAGUGUUCAGAUAGGAAGAGGAGGUGAAACUUGGAUAUCUUGUUAGUGGUGUGUUUGCAUUCCAGCAGCUGUUGUGUAUCUGAAAGUUUGUGAACACCUGCAUUCAUGGAAGAUUUUCUGCGUCACUUUUGGGCUCUGUUGCUGCAAGAUAUUCAGACGGCAUUUGCAAAUAUUUUGUCUCAUUUUGUUAAAUCCUAAUCAGCUGUCAGGUUGACAAAUUAAGUUUUCUGUGCAAGAAACUAAAAAAUUUCAAAAUUGAACCAAUUAUUAUUAUUAUUUAUUUAUUUAUGUUUUGUAGGCUAUUUUUACCCAUAUUUUAAAGGGAGAAAAAAUGGCAAGUCACUAUUUUCUUAUAAGAACAGCUUGAAAAAUCCAUACAAAACUGUACAAUUAAACAGAAAAAAGACAGAAAUGGGGAGGCUUUAGUUUUAAAAUAAAAACAAGCAAACUAUUAUUAUUAUUAGAAUUAUUUUUUGGGGUGUGUCUUUUCAUAUUAGCCAUUUUUUUAAGUUAUUGAAGUUAUUGUUUAGUACUGUCAAUAUGCAUUUUAAAACCAAGUAAAUUUUUUUAGGCUUUUUCCACUGUUAACAUUAAAGUUAUGACUUGAUAACUCUUCGUAAUAUCUUUAUUCUGUUAUAUUUUUUGUUAUUUUUCUCUGAAAUUUCUCUUUUAGUCAUUAAUUUACCUGCAUUUUUAUGAAAUUGUUUUUUCUCAUUUGCAAAUCCCUCUUUUAAUUACUGUAUUACUCAGCAACCUUGGUUUUAGGAACUUACAAUUGGCAUUUUUGGUUUCCCCUUUUCUCUAAUAUUUUAAGGAUGUUUUUUUUCCCAUCAUUAUAUGACAGUGCAUAUACAAACAUGAGAUGUAGGGAGAGAUAAACAGGGAUAACAUGCAACAAAGGUCCCUGUCAGAGCAUAAAAUUUGCACAAAUCCCCGAGCUUAAGUCUAUUUUCUUUACUCUAAUUGUGUGUUGGCCUCUGAGUGCUGCCCAAAUGCUGCUGAACCGCACGCAACACUGAGCCUGAACCGGACUGAAGCGGCUGCUGCUGCUGUCAUGCUGCUUUCACUACCUGCACACUAACCUGUGGAGACACAUUCUCCACCACGUUUCAGCUUGAAUAUGUGCAGCUCACACCUCGGUUUGUACAGUUCUUCAGAUAUUACAAGGCUGGGGAAGCCAUUUGUGAAGUUUCCCUGCUACUUUUCUUCAACUCUUGAUUUUUUUAAUUUUUUUCGUCCUCUUUGCCUUUUUCUGCUCAUCUUACGUCAGCACAGAUCCACAGGUCAUCACCCCUAAAUAAGGGAACAAAAAGAUGAAGAGAGAGACAGAGGGAGGAUGGCAGAUUUAUUCUGCUGAUGCAGAGAGUUUUUGGAGUAUUCCUCCAGCACCCAAGAGACAAGGGGUUAAAUUUUGUUUUUUAACGCAUCAGCUGUUUAGAGAUGUAGCUCCAAACAAAUAUACCCAGGUGAGAAUCAACAUUUUUCCAUUCUCAGUUGAAUUCCAGGGUGUAUUUUCUGUCAAAUUUGGACCCAUAGGCUCUGAUUUGAGUGUAAUCCCCCCCUUUAAGUCAACUAAUGGUACAAUCCAUGCCCACUGAUGAUGACUAUGGUGAUGUCAGAGCAAAAGAGCUCAAAGCGGCUUUGGCGGGGUGCAGAGAGGAGGGGGCGGGGAGGCUUGAGGUUAAAAAGGUGACAGAAAACAAUCCACAAUGAGAGGAAAGAUCAACACACACACACACACACAUCUAAAGACACACAUCGACUGUUAUAUAAAAAGGUAGAUGAGCAUGUGCCAACUUUGAAAUGUCAAUCACAGUCUCUCAUUAAACAAUAGGCGUACGGGGGGGCGGGGGGGAUUAAGACGAACACACAGCGGGUGAAUCGUCUCAUCGCAGAAGUCAUCAGAUCAGCCAGGCGGUGCUCCUGAGAUGUCGGCAGGAGGUCACGUGAUCCUUCGCCAAGCGGUCUCAGAGGCUAGCCAUGAUGUAAUGGUCACACGCAUGCCAUGGCACAGCCUUAUGCAGCACAACAUCAGCACACACCCGCAGGCAGACAUUCGUCCUUGUGUGCCACGGGAGCUGCCCUCGCAUUGGCUGAAUAAACACUCAUGGAGGGAUUUCAGAGAUUUGGGUAAACAGCCGAGGCGCUCGACUAUUGGACGGAGAGGCGUUUUACUCCCAUCAUAUCAACCAUUUUCCUAUUGGUCAAAAAAUUUCAUGUUUGGAGGGAUUUAAAGAAGCUUUAGCUACUGGAUGAAACGAUUUGAGUGCUCUGCUGCCCUGCAGUAUUAGCAGAAGUCUUCUUCAGGGACAUGUUGAAUAUUGACAUUAAAUUAAGUCUGCUUUCAUGGAAAGAGCUAAAACAGUUUCCUGGUACAGAUGCCAAAUAAGUAGUGCGCCUGACAAGGCGGCACUCAGGCAACACAAAGGAAUUCUCAGAAUGGCAAAAAUGAUAUGUGGGCUUGUUGAAAAUUCCAGGUCAGAGAAUAAAAGAGCCAUCAGCGUUUGGUUAAAAUUGGUUUCCCUCAACAGGCUCUAAGCAUCCCAAGAAAUUGUCCCCAAGCAUUGGCAUUGUUUUCAUAUUUAUUCAUAUCCAGCUUUGGAGCAGCUUCAAAAGGCAAAUGUCCUCCUCCUUGCGAUUGGUUGGAGUGGAGUUAGAGUUGUGUUCAUUAGGGUAAACAAGCUGUGCUCCAGAGAUAGCACAGAGGCCAUUCACCCCACCCUGGCACUGAGCUCUUAGUAAUACCAGCCUGCACGCACACACUGACACACAAGCAUCAGUCGACCGCUCUGGGCUCAGUGUGCUUAAAUGCAUCGCUGCAGAACCACGACUUAAAAGAGGAGCAACACAAAUGCAUGGCAAUCUCUGCAAGAGCUCCAAAGUCGCCUCUGGCUGUCAUUCUUCUUUACACUCAUUGGCUUUUUACUGAUGUGUCCAGUCUGUGCUUGUGGCCCGCCCCAAGUAAAUGACCUCAUCUGACAGCCCAGCUGCCAGUGGAGACAGACCGCUUAUGAAACCAGGCCAUUCUAUCCUAAAAUUCAAGGGUUGUGCAACUAGAGUGGGAGCACACUGUGCCUGUGCGAGUGUAAGUUUGUAUGAGGUGGAAAUGGUGCGAUUAUGCAACAGAGUUUGUAUUUUAGCUGCAAAUAAAAUUCGGAGGAAUUUUUGCAUCGUGUUAUGCAGCUGAAGGACUGUUCAUCGUGCAGCAUAUAAACCCAGAGACACAUACGCACACUCUUGAGAGUCUCAGGCCACUCGUGAAUAAUAGAUACAGAAGCGAUGUGUCAAAGUCCUUGGAGUGGCCUGGAAACGGAUAGCAGAUUAAAUAUGCGCCAACCCUGACCUCGGCCAGACCGUGUUACAAACCCACACACGCACCAACACACAUGCUCACAUGCAGGGAGCAGCAACGGCAGCACUGGUUUACAAACCAAUGCGACAGGGGCUUAGGGGUGCCGGUUCACAACUGGAAAUACAUGUUGUGUUGAUGGGUUUAGCCGACUGUGAUCAAGCUGCAUUUAUUGUCUGAAAAGUUGUUUUGAGGGACUUGAUAAAAGAACGGCCAAGUGCCUGUAUCAGAUUUUUUAGAUAGCAUCUUAACAGACAAUGAAAUCCGACUUAUCUGGCACAGUUUCUCUUUACAGAGAUAGAUCUGAGCUGAUGAGUUCAGUAUUCCCUUCGUAAAAAACAGUUGUGUGUGGUCGGUGGUUUGACUCCACCCAGUGAUCUUUUCUUGCAUCCCUUUCUAUUUAUCUGUUGUCAUCUUGUAAUGCCUUAAAAACAUAAACAUAGAUGCAGAGCGAGCAUCACUGGCCUUUUGUCUUUCUUGCAGGUUAACAUCCACAUGGUUAUAUGUCACAGUCACACAGUCUAAAAUGACUUAAUCUCCAGGUAACAUAUCAAACUGCUGGCAAACUGUGCUUCAUUGUGAUAUGCCGAGUGUUAUUUGUGCUUGUUUACAUCAGGGUAGUAGAGCAUUAUAGCCAUUAACAUGAGCUACAAGAGGAGUGUGGCUGUUCUACAACUGAGACACAAUGUAUGACUGGCAUUUCAGGCACACAGUGAUAAAAUUUCAAAUGAAUUGUUUAAACAACUUCUAAUUUUAGUGACGACUACUAAUUAUUAGUCGAUGAAACUUGCACAAGAUUCGAAGUCUGAAAAGCCACAGAGGGAUUUUUUUUUCUAAUAGUUAAACCAUUUCAACCAAGAGCACAUCAACAGAAAAUAUCUGAUGCAAAAGGUGUUUUUAUGUUUAAGACACCAACACAGAGGUCUCUCUAAAAACAAAUACACUAUAUUUCCACUAUCUGUGUCCUAACUCCUGUCAACAGAUUUGUGGACUUGUCGCUCCUUCGAAAGUCCACUCUCAGCUUCCCUCUCUGCAAAGUUUCAGACACUUGUGGUCCAUUGUCAGAAGAGAAAACACAAGCAGCAUCCCUAAAAAUCCAAUCUCCUUUUCAGCUCUGCGGCAUUGCUUGUGAAAAUAUCUUGAAAGUUUUGCUGCUUGCUCUAGUUGCUAUGGUUUUCUUGGCAAGAGGUGCCUGCAGAAAAAGAAGAGUGGCAGUCCGAUUGGGCUGCCCAAACGGUAGAAACAGAUCCACAUAUUUCUGUCUUCUUUAGUCCAUGGUCUGUUGAAUAUGCAGCUUCCUGCUGAAUCUCAAUGCUGCAGUUUAAGGGGAAAAGUUUUUAACAUACCCAUGUGAGAGUAUUUCUUUAUCCUCUGCUGGAAAUCUUUAACUGAAUACGCAAUAAUCAAUUGAAAUCAACACCUUGAAAGUCCUUUUUGGGGUGCACCAGCAGUGAAUCUUUCCAGGCUUUUGCACCAGGAGGAGCUCGUGUUCACGUUUCCUCAGCUUCUCGCCUUUUCAGUCGAGAACAAACAAGACCUUCUUGUUGAUAAUUGGACUCUUGAACAUCCUCUGCUUUCCAUUCCCUUCAAACUUCUCCUCCUCCUUUUAAAGAAGUCAUGAAUAAUGAAACAAGCUUUGCGUCAUCAUUUGUACAGGUAACAAUGUUGGCAUGUCAAGCCAAGGCAUCUGAUCCUAGCUUCCAAUGACAUGAUGGAAUAUGUUGGCCGGUGUUUGCUUUCACCAGGUAAAACUGAAAUAUUGAUGAAGAGGGUGAGGCGGAUUUUCCACUGCCUCAGCUCACCGGCCAGCUCCCCCUCUCGUUUGGCGUGUCCCAAUUAUUCGAUACGACGCCGUGCCGGAGCAGCGACCGCUUCGGCGGAUAGAUGGCUGGGCGAGCUGGGCAAAGUGGAGAAGGGAAGGGAGGAGCGGAGCACGGCGUGCUGCACAUUUUCCAUCUGUCAUGAAAGUGGAGCAGCUCAUUAUCGCAGAGUGCUCUCUACUGAGCUGACCUGAAAAGACAAGGAGAGCAUGUGUGUAGGUGUAGGUUUGAGAGAAUGUAUACAUUGUGUUAAUGUGUCCUAGUCGAACCUUUCCAACCCAAUAUGUUCAAACAGAUGAGCAAGCAUAUAUAACAGGAGUUACAGCACUCCUUCUUUGACUCUUGGAAAAGUAAUUUAGUCAAACAUUGAACUUUAUUUGUGGUAUGAGGAGCCAUUUUUGGAGCAUUUAACACCAGUGCAUUCUUACAUCUAUGAACUACCAUUAAACUGACAUGUUUUUACGUUGUUUUCCACCUGGUCCCAUCUAUCCUUCUCAGCUUGGCUAAUCAUCUCCUUCAAAAAGGUAUAAAUAAUGAAGUGCUGGCAGCUGCAAUAAAGUAGCCGACAGGUGAGUGGCUGUUAUGUGAAGUGGGACAUGAUGACAGUGAUAAAGCUAAUGCCUCGAAGAUCAAAUAAAGGCAUUGAUACCUCGUCUUAAAUCGGCAAUCUCCAUCUUGGUUUGCAGGUGAUGGUUAGGCCACUUGGGUUUGGGUCAUCAUCUUGUCGCAUUGUGAGCACAUAAAUAUUGCUUUUCACGUGAGGCUUUUGUCUGUAAAGAUAAAUCCCAGUCGUCCUCAUCUGCCUUUUGGUCUCAGGAGGGAAAAGGUUUUUUUAAUAUAUUUUUUCUUUGAAGCGCUGUUGCAGAUUUGAGUCCUUUGUGUGGAAAUCCACCUAGUGCACCAUGUGAUGAACAUAAACAACUUCCAAACAGAGAGGAUAUAAAAAAGCUUUCUCUGUAUGCUUGAUCCCUGGGGUUUAAUGUCCCAGUUGGGAAUUCAGCAUGUCAAUUUGUGACUGUGCUGGAGGGCACAGCAGAAGCAGUGGUUCUGGUAUAGGAGGGCAGACAAAGUAAAAGUAAAGGGUAGAGAGAGAGGAUAGUGGCACAGCAGGGGAGGGACCUUGCGGAUUGUUAAUAAAGCCUCUGAGCCCAGAUGUCCAUCUGAAUAAGAAGCUAUUUCCAUCUUUUGUUGUUUUCUUCUUUUCUUUUCCUUCCACCAACAGGCACACUAACAGGCAAAAAGAGCUUUGUCAAAAAAGAUCUAGACUCUCCCCUGCACAGCCGGGGCAAAGUUUGCUGCUGAGCAUUUGGGAUGUUGCCUGAAAAAAUUGUCCUUAUUACAGAAAAAGCCAAGGUCCAAGCCUCAAACCUGAGUGUACAAUUUGUAGCACACUGUGAAUCCUUCAGCAGGCUUUACCACUUGUGCCUCGACUGGAAUUAACUUCACGUCCUCACUCAGCCAUGAUGAUUGAUUUCAAGGUCUGGCUGCAAACCUGUCCGAACUGUAGCUGGCCAAAGAAUCUGUCCUCAAUAGACAUUUCAUAAUUGCUACUCCCUCACUAUGAUAGAAAGGAUACCAUACAGGAUAUAAUUGAUUACCUGCUGUGGCCUUGUUACGUCUAUAUCCUUGCUGUGAAGAUGUGAGACUCUGGGCAUUCUGGCUACUAGGGAUCAUGUUUGUGGUUAAUCAGAAAACAGGCCAUAACCCCUUUGAAGGUUGAUCCGAAAAUGGAACCCAUGGAGGGCAAGAAUCAGAGCUGCUUAGUGAAAUAAUUGUCUCACAGCAGCAGCUUAAACAUUAAUGUUAAGCUCAUCAGCAAACAUGCUGAUUCUGUGCUUAAUAUUAACACAGGGCUGACUCUGGGUUUUGCACUGAAGUCUGUCCUUCCAAGAAAACCUAGGGGAUCAGUUGUUUCAGAAAAUGACUGAAAAUGACAUACGCUUUCAUGGACGUGCCAAAGCCUUUCAGUGACUUCUCCUAGACUAAGGACCAAUUGUUACCCUUAGCCCUCAUUUUUGAGGUUUAGGUCAAGCAAAGGAGUGUCCUAAUUCUCCAUUUAGGUUGGGGGGAAGGGCUAAGGGUAAGGAACCUCACUUUAAAUUGAGGUGUAUGAUCUUGAUAUGAUUUUUACAGUGAUGACAUUCAUGUUUUUAUCAGAUAUUCAAUCCCUUGCAACUCCACGUAAAUAUUAUCAAAUUUGGAAUUGUUUGCUUUUUAAAAUCGCUUGUUAUGAUGAGCUAGCUAAGUUAGCUAUAGCUAAUGAUGUGAGACUCAGGUGACAAAUUCACGGCAGAUGGACUUCCCUACAAUGUACUGAAUUUUAUUAAUGAUUAAAAGGAAUGAUCAGACAGCUAAGCUACAUUCAGUACAUCAGUAACCUCUAACUCUAAAGGCUACAUCAGGAGCUUUUACAUAUGCCCUUGUAUGAGUAAAAUACCAUGUUAUGUGUUGUUUUCAACUGCUAAUGCUAACAACAGCUAAACGUUACAACAGUAGGCGUUGUUUUCCGACAUGUCUACCCGUAUUGUCACAUCAGCCUACGACACCCCAGCAAACAGCAAGGCAAACAGAAUUGAGUGGCGUCUUGUUUCUUAGAGGUGUGUUUUCACUCUGUCGCCUUGGUCCUCAGUUUUAAGGGAAGGGGAAAGAGUGAAAAUUGGAAUUGGGCCAAAGUCCUGGAUGGAGGAGGUGAGGAUGAGAAAAUGGAUCAAAAAAAGUUGGCCUCUGAUUUGAGAGGGUGUUGCACCUCUUCUCUUUUUCCCAGUUUGUCAACAGUAGUUUUUAUUCUUAUUACUAUGACAGUAAAAGGGUAGAAGAUGUGUAUUGAGCCUCACAUUUUCAUUUUAUGGUUUAAAAAAGGUUUUAGUGCAGGCCAGGAAAUAAUUGCAUCAUCAACAUGACCUCUUGGUGCUGUAGGACCAUCUUUGGAGGACAUUCUGCUGCUACUGUUUAAAAAACAAUUCUGUUACCAUUGAUUCACUUCAGCUGACAUCCUGCCUGGUUAUGUCUUCACCAACAGAAAGUGGACUUGAACCCAGCAGGAGGCCCAUCUUCUCUCAGUUCCUUGACCCUAAAAGACAAGAGUCAUAAAUUCAAACACUAAGCUUUAAAAGAGUCGCAGAAUUGCCUUGUCCCUACAACUACUCCCUAAUCAAUACUUCUUUUUACAGCUUUACAAUCACCAAGUAAUCGAGCCUUGAAUUCUAGGCAGGAGAUAUAUAGGUCUCUGUUAUCUUUUUGGUCCACUUUAAGACAAGUGUUUCCUUCCUUUCCUUGCAAUAAACAAGCAUUACUCUUUCCAAAUUGCAUCAUAAACCUUCCAUCAAGGGAGUGGAAAAUUGUCAACUAAGCAUGACGCUAUUCCAGCUUGCACAGGCCGUCAUGUGCUUAUAAAGACUGAAAGACCAAAGGUGGCAGCACAGGGACUUUGGCUUAGGGCAAAGUAUGUUCUCUUUCAGAUAGGGCAUAGGGUUCAUUUUUUUUUAUUUCUCACUGGAUAUUCCUUCUGCCAUUUGUGCAUUUUAUAUCACCAGAGUUUCCAGCUGAUAACAUCUAACUAUCAUAUUUAGAUGCAAUUGCAACACAGUUUGCUUGUUCCUGUUUUUGACAGAGUAACAUGCACAAGAAAACAUUUUCUCGAGAGCAAAAAUUGUCUGCAAAGAAAAAGAGAAGGGGUCUGAGUGAGUGUGUCUGCUCAGUAAAUCGACCGUAGAUACUUGACCUUGUACGCUGUCUCUUAAACCGCUGGUCACGGACGAGCCAUCAUUCUGGAAAUGGUUUAUUGAAGAGACUCUCUUUGGUGUCCCUUUGAACUUUGAUGGAUGUUGUGGGGGAUGGGUUGAGAGUUCAGCCUUGGCCUAAGAGCUAAAUAACCUUGUUGUGCUAAUACAGCAUCUCGAUAAGCCUUUAAAAGCUCAAGUCCUAAUCUUCAUAACUUACAAAGCAUUAAAAAACCACAACAAGCGAAAGAUUUGUCUGCUGGGCAAGUUGUUGUUGGUUUGGUUUUAAUCUGCAAAAGGGUGUGUUUGAGUCUGGAGAAUUUAGCACCAAUCUGUAUUGAAAUAAUUCUAUGGCAAAAUGACCGGAUGGCGAGAGUGUGUCCUCAGCUGACCUAGUUUACCAUGAGCAUAAUAUCCCUCUGCUCCAAUAGCUAUUGACUCAUAGUAGGAUGAUCAUGAUGAUGAUGAAGCCUCUUUUAUGAAAGGCAAUGAAGAAGCUUAAAAUGUGACUGAACACCAUAAACUCAUCCCCCCCCCCCCCCCCUUUAGGAAAGAUCACAAAUAUGAUCCUAUAAAAAUCAAACAUCUGCAAGUUAUUGUAUGGACUAUCUGGAUUGGGAUUGGUUAUCAGCAAGCUCAGCCUGGUAUUUCUGAUGUCUUUCCAAGCAACUUUUCCAUCCCACUCUGGGGAUCCCACUAUGUUCCCAGGCUAGAUUAUAUAUAAAAUCCCUCUAGCUUGAUCUUGGUUCUCACCGUUGGUUUUCUCCCAGUUGGAUUUGCUUAGACAACUUCCAAAGGUAGACAACUGGGAGGGAUCCUCGUGGAAAACCAGACACACUUUCUUCAUUCCAACAUAAGGGACAGCCAAUCAACUCCAGCCCCUUUCAGGUGCCCCUCACACUUUCUUUAAACUAAUGAUGAAGCAUCAAAGUGGAAGUUUAUGGCAGUAUGUCCAAUAUUUGACAUUAGAAGAAUCCCCUUAAAACUUACAUGUGAAAUAAUAGUUAAGUAGUUCAAACACUCAUCAUAUUAGUAAAGUAAUUAAGAUUCAGUCACAUGUAGCUUUGUAUGUUUGGACCAGAUACUGAUCUGUCUACUACAUGAUAAACUAUUUUGCUCGGUGAUCACCUCAAUAGCUAGAGAUGAGAUCUUCCACUCCCACAGAGUCUGCCCACUCUCACUCUCAGUCUCACUCUCAGCCCACGGUAAAUCUCUACUUCAUAUCCUUGUUGCCUUGAGGGGUUACUGAACCUUGGCACUCCAUUCACUCAGCACUCAGAGUUUAGCCACUGGCCCGUAUCAGGCCAUGACAGGCUUGCCACUCCAUGUAUCCAGACAGCGAUACCACUUUGUAGCAACACGUUAACACAUGUGCUGCAGCUAGAAGUGAAGCAUGCUGGGCCAUGGCACUGAGACAGGUAAUGAUGUAAGCCUAUCUGCAGUUUCUCAGGCCACAGGUCAGUGUUGUGAUAUCAUGUAUUCAUGUAUUCCUGGUGAGUAUGUGUAAAGCAAUUUUAGCUACGAGACCCAAGGGGUGAUUUGAGGAGGAUGAGGAAAAACAAAACCUCCUACUUGUCAGGACACCUUUUAGUUUGGAUUUAAAAGGAAAUAUUUGUGUAAGUGACUCUUCAUCUACAGUUCACAGGGUUUGUUUUACUUGAUUUAAGUGUUGUAGCUCCAAUGAAGUGUUUUUAUUCCUUGUUAUAUUGACAUAAUGCAGGAGAAACCUGUUCAAAAAAUUUUGCACUCGACCCUGCUGUUCUGGUAGCAUAACAAUAUGGUUGAAUUCAGUGCAGCUGUGCUUGCUAAUGCAAGAAUGUUACCACGUCUGUUGAAUGUAACAUCCCUUAAACUCGAACAACAGAGCUAAAAACUGCAGUUAAUAAUGAAUCAAAGCAUAAAACCGACUCGUGGUUUUGCUUAACAAUUUUCUACAUCAACCUGAGCAUUUAAAUGACAGCUGGAGAUGACUGAGUCUUUGGUUUUUGGACUGUUUUGUCCACACUGUUCCAAUAUCCCAGCUGCUCAGUACCUUUCAGGAGACAGCAGUUCAACUUGGCAGCACCCAGGUGUGAAUGCAUGCAUGGAGCUGUGUGAAAAAUAAAGCACAGUGCAGCUGAAAACAGAGCAUACAUAUUUGUGCAGUCGUCUCUGCCUGAAUCUAUCAAACAGUCUUUUCAGUAGCUCCCCCUGUGCUGUUUGUUUGAGUGGCUGCUGUGUUGACUCAGGGCACUUAGACCUUUUUGUUUACAUACUGCUGUUGAAGUAGCAUGUACACUAAAUGCAAGGCUCCUCCUCAGAUAAGAAUAUGCACAAACAUUACCAGGAAGGACAUACAGAGGAACAGGAGCUUAGAGUUUGAAACAGGUUUUUAGUUUCCUGGAUUGAACCAGCAAAAAAACGCUUUGACAUUCAGUGAUGUGAUUCUCUGUUCCUACAAAACAUGAAUGUAAUUACUCCAUAUUAAAUUGGAAAUUUUCCAUAAUGAAGUACAUGGACACUCAUUAGUGGGAAACAUUUUGUUCUAUAUGGUUACCUGUUAAAGGGAUAUUCUGGCGUAAAAUUAAAUAAGGAUCAAACACACCGUAACACUGAGUUAAGACACCCCGUUGAGAGAUAAAUGUUGCAGACAGCUUGCUUCUCUAGUUAUACCAACUUUAGUAAUGACUGCGAGUUCAUCACUGACUGCAGCGGGGUGACGCAACUUAAGGAAGAACAUUUAUGAUUCAUUCAUUUCUUUAUCAUUUCUUUAAAGUAAUAAUCAUCAUAUUAAUAAUAUUGCACAGUUGUUCUUCUGCCAUAGCGUCUCAGUCUGAUUGCAUUUCCAUGAGGAAAUGAUCAUAAAUGUUCUUCCUUGAGCUGUGUCACCCCGCUGCAGUCAGUCAUGGACUGGCCUGAGGUCUGACUACAAACAAGGGCUGCUGGAAGAGAGUGGGUGAGUUGUGUUUAGUCUCUGUGCUGGAGAAAUUAGGCAAAGCUAAAAAGAUGUUUAGUGGCUAAUGCUGUGGCUGGGACCCUAUUUGUACUGUUGAUAAAGUUUUGCUGUUCUGAGCAUUAUUUGUGGCUAUAGAGUGGCAUUUUGGUUGAGUGUAUGGCUCCUCCCACCGCUGUGUAUUGCUCUCCUGCGGUCGUUACAAAAGUUGGUAUAACUAGAGAAGCAAGCAGUCGGAAACAUUCAUCUCUCGAUGGGGUGUCUAACUUAGCAUUACGGUGCGUUUCACCCUAACCUGAUUUUAGCUGGAAUAUCCCUUUAAGUGAUCAUAACUUUAUAGCAUAAGCCUUCCACGAAAGCUAAGCAGUUUUAUCUUUUUUUUAAUAAAUGCAUUUGAGCCUAACUCUGCUUUCUUUUUGUUUUGUUAAAAUAUGAAUAUAGUCUGAUUAUCCAUUAGUGCCCCCAGCUCUGAGUGUGUAGUCACGAUGAAAUGUGUAGAUAGGAAUAUCAAAAUAUUUUGAGGAUUUUGAAUGACAUGAUUAGACAGACAGGUUUUGGCUGGGAUGGUAUUUACAACAACCCUCGCUAAAAUCCCAUGCAUAAAUCAGCCUGUUGGUGUGUAGUUUGUGUGCGUCUGUUAGUGUGUUUGUGUACGUGUAUUGGUUAUAUGUAGUGUCCUCACAGCUGCAUGGCCUCUCUCUCUCUGUCUGUCUGUCUGUCUGUCUCCCUCGCGCUCUCUCUUCAACACACACUCACUCACAAACACACAAACACACACAUGGAUCAGACCAGCCAAAUGCCUCUAUCAAACCCCCUGCAGGCCACUAUCAUCCCAUUCCCUGGCAUGGCACAGCUUAGCCAACAAGUGCACUUGAGUGUGUUUGUGUUCGUACUUCUCUCAUUUGUCACCUCUCUUUCCAUUCCGCUACCUUAUUCCCCACCUUCCUCUUCCUCCUCCUCCUCCUCUUCUUCUCUAGUGUGUGCAUUCUUCAACACCAGGGCACGUGAAGUAGACGAUGACCUUGGCAGCAAACUGAAGGCUUGUCAAGCCAAGAGCAUGAGCGACGGCGUGAUAGCUGGGUUAAAUUGAUACAAUCCCCUUUAGAAAAUUGGCUUAAUCUUGUAGAAAAUAGAUUUUGUCCAGCAGGAUGCUCUCUCAGAUACGUGGACAUCGCUAAAAGAGAAAGCGGGGAAAGCGUGAAACGGAAAGGCGUAUGUAAUUGGAUGGUGUUAUUUCUGUGAUCCAGUGGAGGAAAUACAUACAGUUUGUCCUGUUGGAACAAAAGAUAGAUUUGUAUAUCUCUACAGGGGCAUGGUUAAGACUUGGCAUGACGUUUUUCACAUUUGGAAAUAGAAUUUGAGUUUCACUUUGACUCUAAAGGAAACAAAGGUCUGUGUUUAGUGUUGGACAAAUGAUAUACUAACCUUCAGGAAGAAACAUGGGAACAUGUUACAAAGGGAACUUCUCGUCCUACAGAAAACCAGGAUUAGCAAAUGUGCUGUUGCAACAUCAAAAGCAUUGUAUUCCUAUUUAUGGGGUCAAUAUAAAACUAUGGAGACAUAAAGCUUUAAUAUAAAAAAAAAAUUUGUCACGUUCCAGUCAGACAAAAGCGUGAGUAAAAUCAUUUACUUGCUUAAUUUGCACAAAUCUAGAUGCAUGAAUGAAUGGUAUUUACUUGCUUCGUUCGCGUGUCACCGGUAAUUUCAACAGUAAUCCCUGCCAAUUACACCUGCGGGAUCAAGUCAUAGACAAAGGCUUUUUCACGAGCUCCUUUUCAUUCUUUUAUUGAAAGAAAAUAUAUCAUAUAGUUCAGGGCACCCACACACCGACACGGUCAGUUUGUCCUCCAUUUUAGAUACCAGUGAACAACCGACCGUUUUCAUACGUCACCCAGCAAUCUUCAUGCUGAUUAGUUAUCGCGACAUGAAUAUCCGCUCAUGUUGACAUUUGCAGCUCAUGCCCAAUUCGCGUCAUUCGCACUGCCAGGGUAGUAGGAGCGUCUUAUUGCGUCUUUGCAUUGACUUAACAUGUAAUUCAAUCGCGCGAAUAAUUUUACUCACGCUUGGUGUGUGGAGACAGUCAGAGAUGAUUGGACACUUAAAAAACUGAGAUUCAAAAACCUACUUUGAACUUUGACUUUUUCCAAAAAUAAUGUUUCUGUCAUACUUUUUAUCAUGAGGUGACAAUCUGAUAUGUUGACAACACUCAUUUUACAACUGGAUUAUGGAUUAUCUAUAUGUAAAGAUUUAAUUAUCUAUGAGGAAUGGAAAAAGACAGACAUUUGUGCAUAAUUUUGAGUUUGUUUUGCAGGAUCAAUCACAAGUAUGAGAUACUUCAAUAGAUAUCUUACCUGCAUGCACUUUUGGAUAGUCCUAAUACUCAUCUUGUCAGUUUUGUCUCCACUUCAGUGAGCCUCUGUCACAUCAAGAGGUGAAAUAGCAUGAGAGCACAUCUUUUGCAAACUCAGUAUUACAGACACAGUAAAUGUUUUUUUUAAAUCUGUUGUGUUUUUACUCACCAAAAAUGCACUCAUAUUUGUUUUAAACCCCAGAAGGCAGUCAGCACACCAACGUUAAUGUAGUCUAUAAAAGCUCUCAUCUCACCUGUGUCCAUAAAAGUGAACAUGUUAUACUACGACUAAAAUACCUCCAACUGAAAAACACCAAAAUAGAGCGUGACUACAGUAUGGAGUGGUUUCGAGCUCAUACUAAAAUAGUUCCAACCCUCCACAGUUCUGCAAAAAACAAGCUGUGGUUUACUGCACACUCACUCACUCACUCACACACACCUUAGACUGAGGCGUAAAUUCAACCCUCAAUGUUGACGGAAAAUAACAUGGUUUGUCAGUGUUUUAUUUUGGAAAAUUCUUCUUGAUUGUAAAUGUAUUGCAGGCAAAAAGUUCCUAAAAGAGGAGAAGCUUUAUUUUUACAAGGAUACAAAAACCAUCUAAGAUUUUCAUUCCUUCCUUUUUUUCCUAAAACAAAGCAGAGAGCUGGAGUGUAUGUAUUUUUUCCUCUUCAGGAUGUAGUUUUGUACAAAUAAUGAAGGAAAAUGAAAAAGGCUUGACAUCUGGCCAGUGGUUUGCCAAGCUUUGACAAACCUUGAUGUGAGCUGUAUGAGUUUGAGAGGAAGAGACAGAAAGGGAGGCAGUCAGGAGGGGAAUAUUGCUCACAUUCUAACACACACACACACACACACACACACACACACACAAACGCACUCGGAAAUCAGAUGAAAUAAAAAGAGAUGAGGGGAGAUUGGGUAAAUAUGCAGAGCCUAACUGACAGGAGAAGGGUAAACAAAUUUGUGUGCAUGAUGGAGAGACUGAGAUAGGGAGGCAGAUGGAGAGGCAAAGACAGAAACCAAUUCAAUGACAUCACUGCAGUUGGUUUGUGUCAGCAUGCAUGUGUUGAAAGUAGAUGUGAGUGCGUCGGGGAGGGAAGGCUGAGAGUCAGGCGGUGACGUACCAUAAUCUGGAAUACUCAGAAGCCCAGCUGUGCAGAAUCUGGGCAUAGCCGGGGCUUAUGUUACGUCACACCGACUCCCACUCACACACGCAUGCACACAAAUGCACACAUAGUCCUAAAGGGACACAACUGUCACUCGGAAGAAAGGUCAGGGGGGUUAACUCACGUGCGUGCCAGUGUGUUUGCACUUUGUCUGAUUGGUGGUUUACUACUACUAAAUCUUAUUUACAGUGUAUUUAUACAUGAUGAUUUACCAUGUUUUCCCCAUUUCUGAUACAGUUUUAUUACCCUGUUUGAAAUGUUGGCCAAUACUAUGCACCCCUUGGAUACCAGUUAGUUUAAAAAGCAUUCAUGUCGGCAUAUAUCUUGCAAGAUUUAGCUAGCAUUUCAAUCUCUUCUAGAUUGUGCAGUUUAAAAAUGCCAUAAGACAUCUAUGUUUUUAUUUUCAGGUUGUUAUGCUGUGUUCGAGUUACCUCGUAAGUCAGAAGUCCAAGCUGAAAAUGACGUCACACCCGAGCUACCAGCGUUUCGGUUACCAAAUCAGAAAAAAGAAAAAUCGGAGGCAGAAACAAGAUGGCUACACCUACGAGAAUUAUUUUAGCACUUGCCUUAUAUUCGGACAAAGCAAGCACUAAAAUAACUUUCGUAGAUGUAGCCAUCUUUUUUUCCGACAGCUCCAACAUCUGACUUUCGAGGUAACUCGAACGCAGCAUAAGUACACACAUUCUUAGUCAAUAGUCCCACCAGCAAUUCAACAAUGUUGUCCUGAAAAGUUAAGAUUUUGUUCACUAUAGAAAUGUUGGCCACUUAGUUUACUAGCAGUGCUUAACGUCUACAAUGAUCACCAUCUUUCAUUUUAUCACUUACUUGCACUAAACAUGAGUAUUUAAGAUGUAAUUUUACUCUAUGAUAACCCUAAUAUCACAAGGUUAUAGUUACUAAUGUGAUGGCAUGUGUUGGCAAUUCAUCUUAGGUUAUCAACAUGUUGAAAAAAAAUAAAAAUAAAACCAGAACUUUUAUUCGUUUUGUCAUCUCAGGACCCUGAAUAUGUAUUCAUAAUAUUAUGGUUACCUGUUGAGUAAUUGUUAAGUGGUCUGACCUGUCCUAAAGCCAUAACAACACACUGACCAUACUAAAGUUUAACUCUGUUGGUUAAUGUCUGGUUCUCCACUCUGAAGUAAUCUGCUCAAGUCUUUGGCGAUUUCUUUUUUAUCUCAUGGCUGAAUGCAAAGCCACAACCUGCCCCAGAAACCAUUGAACAACUCUGUACUCUGUGUUCCCAGGCCACUUUUAAAAAGUCAAGAGAUUCUGCCUUGAGAUUCCUAAAUUGUCCCUUUUUCAAAACUUUGUGCUUUUUGUCUGUGAACAAGAAGAGCAAGGGAUGGAAAGUGGAGAGUAGGCGGGCUGAUUCUGUGGUAAAGGGCUGCAUUAGUGGUAGCAGAUUAUAAUGGAGAGUCCUCAAACACUCAAUUUCUCUUAAGAGGACCACUUUGCCCCUGGGUACUAACUGUUCCAGCAGGUUGUGCGAGUUCAGUGUGUGUGCUGCCUUUGAUUCAGAUGCAUCUCUAACUAUACGUCAAACAUGCUUUAUUGACGUCAGCGUGUGUUUUGUGCUGAGAUUGCGUCUUCUGCAGGCAUGAAACAUGUGAUGUUUCCAAAAUGACGCUGUCCCAGAUAGGUACGUGACUCUUUCCUGUGCAUUAUCAGCACUUCCUGUCAUUAGCAGGAAGUCUGGAUGUGAUUGAAACAGAUGGACACAUAGCUGGAGUGCUAUUGACAUAGACAGAGACAGUAAGGUUAUUACUGCUUCACCCAGAGGAAAGAGACCUCUCUCAGGUCUCUUAAGUGCUUCCCCUCCUGCUCUUCCUGCAUCUGAGUCCUCUUGUCACCGCGGGCUGCCUUAAAGACCAGCUCCAUCAAAAUAAGAGUGUUAUUGAGAUGUGUCAAAGUCACAGCAGGAGAUGCCUGUCAUGUUUAGAGAUUUCUGAUUGGCUGGUGUCUUAGAUAAUCAUAUUCACUGUCCUUGUCGAGGAUCAUUUACUACAUUCACUUUGCAGCUACCUUCCCUUUGACUUCUUGCUCAAGAUUGGAAGCUGAAAUAUGUUAAUGUUUCAGGUUUUAAGUCUUAGAAAUGAAGAUUAUCUGAUAAAUCAUCGUCAAAUCACCAUGUCCUGAUUGAUGAGAAACUGAAAAAAGUAAAUAGUCAGCAUUUUCCAGGAUUUCUAGUCAUGCUAAUCUCCAGUUUUAAGAAAUGAAGCCAAUACAAAAAUGCCUAAAACUGCAGUUCCCGGACUGUCCACUUGAGGCUGGCUUUAGAGGCCCUGAAGGCCACAUACACACCCUGCCUUUACUAAAUAAACACGUUCACAUCCUGGUGUAAAAGGAAUCCCAGCCUGAUUAAUUUCUUUAUUGCCACUGAGGGUUAGGGCCAUGUUUAGGAAGAAAAAAAAAAGAUGUAUGAUGUAUAUGGUUUAUGGAAACAGGCAUAUAGACUUGGCUUACUGCAUUAUUAGCAAUGAUUGGUUUGAUGCCAAAAUAAGCAGUUGUCUAGUAGUGGCUAAUGAGUUGUUAAAUCAAGUUUUAUUUUAAAAUUUGAUUUGAUUUAAUUUGAUUUUUAACUUGGCAAGAUGGCGCACGCUCUGCUGUGACAGCACUGACAGUUCUCUGUGUUCUCUGUGUUUUACAAUUCGGCACAGUGUCCCAUCAGAUUGUCCUUAUUUAUUUGACUUUCUACAAUUGUAUUAUCUCUAUUACAUUCAAACAGUUUUUCAACCUCUUGUGAAGAACUUUCAGUUUGUGUAAAUUUCGGUGCUCCUUGUGGACAAAGCAUUGUUUGCUUAUCUUGAUAUCUAUAUGCUUGAGUAAGGACUUGUGACAAAGGGUCUCUUUCUUUUCUCUUCGUCUUUUGACAGCCAAAUUGAUCCUUUAUUUUGAUUUUUUAAUUAAAAUGACCAUUUCUUCAGCUGCUUGGCUAAUGCCUACCCCUGGUACCAGUUUCAUGCGUUAAAAAAUGGGUUAUAAGAACUAUCAGUCCUGUCGCCAAUGGUCUUGUUUGCUCUCGGAUAUCAUGAAAGGGCAUCAAUAUGAGUUUCAGCUCAUUUCAAAGACAUCAAUAACUCCUCAUAAGAGCUUUAAGCCUCCCGCUCACAGCUAGACUCUGAUGAAAAAUGCUCACUGUGUGGAUAUGGUGCAGAGAUCUGGGUAGAUUUGCUUUAAUAAGUAAAAUAUGUCAGAGUUACACAGUCAAAGGCACAAGAGGGCCCAACUUGUGAUUCCAAAAAGUUUUCAUGUACAAGUGAAAGCAGCUCUUGUCAACAUUUAAUAUUUGCAGAGGAAGACAUGCCCCCUGCUGCUGCUGCUGCUGCUGCUGGUAAAGUUCUGUAACUUGGACAUACGGACACCGUGUUUGAACCCACAGUAGUCAUGCUUGACUGUGUUUGCGCUCGCAGGCUCGCUGUGUGCUCACAUACCAUAAUUAGCGUAAUGAGUUAUUUAUAGCCAGCUGUGGAAUUAGCUGUGGAAUUGCCAGGCAGCCUCGGGGCUGAUUAAGCCACUUGCCAAUCAAUUAUUUAUGGCUUCCUGGAGAAGAGUAGCUUGUCCUCUUUUGUGAGCAGCACCAUGGCAACACAACAGGAAGCAGAAGAGCCUGUGGAGAGGAAGUAGCCCCCAUGAUAGAAUCAGCUGUGCCAUCCCUGUCUGCUGCAGCGUCUCCUACCCUCGCUCGCUUACACUCUCACACAGCGCUCUAAUCUAAACCAUACUUUUACUGGGAGUCCUCUAUGAACUCCCUAGGCCCAAUGAAAGGUGUUUAUGUUCUGUAUUUGAGAGAAAAUAAAUAACAUGGUAGGAUGAAAUUAGAUUAUUCCCAGUUGGCGAGAUGGAGACUGAGGAAAUGUGAUUUUUAUCCACUCGCUUUGAGAUCAGGUAAACCACCUCUGGACAAUAAUAAACACACUUAAUGAGGUUGUCCGGGUCACAGGAACAUCUAUUUCACACUUUGUAAUUGUUGCAGGAGUAAAAAGUCCCAAGACGUAGUAGUGGUAAUCCAAGCACAUGUGGCUGUGGAAGUCAAGUUUUAUGUCUUUUUUUGGAAGAAAUGUGUUGCUCCAAUUGCUGAACAUCCCCCAUUGCAAAAUUGUAAAUCAGUAUGAAACUAUUUCCUGCCAUAUUACGGUUGCCACAUCCUUCCUGUGAGUAACAGUGAAUCACUUGUUUGUCAGUCCAACAGCAAAAUGAUGGUGAUUUUUUUAUUCUUUAGGUUGGCGCUCACGAGCUGUAGCUGAGAAAUUCUGUCUAAAAUGACAAAGGACUUUGCAACAGUCUUUUUCAACACUUUCUUUCCAUUAGCACUUAUUUCUAUUUCUGUAGCUUCCUCUGCAUUGCCUCUUUCUUUCGCUUUUUUGUACCUAAUAAACAUAAACAAAGUCCCAGUCAGGAAUAUAACUGUAAAUAAUAAGUAAAAGUGAAUGCACCCUGCUCACAUGACCUCAUAAAGUUUUCGUACAAGGUCUUCCCUUUUAAUGUCAGCAAGGGCAGAGUGACGCUUUGAGGCGAAUUUCAAUCAGUCUGUGUCACUCCCACACAGCUCGUCGGCUUCUUGGCUGUGUGGGAGGCCCACAGGACAUUGCCACGGGCUGUACUGUAUCUUCACAGAUCUGCCAUCUAAAUUGAAUCUCAAAUCUUCCUCAUCCACUUUUCUCCACUUAAAUAGACCUCAUGCCUGGAGAAAAUGCUGAGCUUAAGUUUUAAAACUAAAUUUGCAAAGUUUCACACACAGCCAACAGCCAAGACUACAUGCUUGAAUAAAAUACAGUGAACUUCAUAACGCAAAAGAGUAUUUCCUUUCUCAGUGCACCAAAUGGGAUUUUGCAGAUACAGUAUUAGUGUAGACAAAAAUGAUGACUACCAAAUUUGUUUAAAUAGUGAUAUUUUUAUUUGAAAGUACAUUUGCAGAUACUUCAUUUGAAUAUUUAAAAAAAAAACAGCAUUUCUUGAGAUUUUAAACUUUUAUUGACCAAUUCAUUCAUCGCAUCACUUUUAAGUUCAUUUACUUAAAGCUACUAUGAGUUCUCUUGUGUUUGUGAAGUAGACCGAACUUUAUACUGAUGUUUUAUCAAGAUAUGAAAAAAGCAAACAAGACCAUCAUCAACAAGACAGACAAUUUUUUUUUCUUCUAAUUUUUAAUACAGUUGAAUGUCAAAGGUCACAGCUUAAAGGGAUAUUCCGGCGUAAAAUUAAGUUAGGUUCAAACACACCAAAACACCGAGUUAGACACCUUGUCAAGAGAUAAAUGUUGCCAACCACUUGCUUCUCUAGUUAUACCAAUUUUUGUAACGAUCACACGAUAGCAAUACACAGUGGUCCCAGUAGCCACGCGCUCGACCAAAAUGCCGCUCUAUAGCCACAAAUAACGCUCAGAACAGCACCUAACUUCAUCAACAGUACAUAUAGGGUCCCAGCCACAGCACUAGCCACCAAACAUCUUUUUAACUUUGCCUGAUUUCUUUAGCAAAGAGACUAAACACAACUCACCCACUCUCUUCCAGCAGCCGCUUGUUUGCGGUCAUUACUCAAGUUCCUUGUUUUGUUAAUCAGUUAACCAAUAAUUGAAACUCCUGUGGGGACAUUUCAGUUUUUGUCUAUACUUGAGUAUUUUUCCCUGACACAAAGAUGUCAUUCUUUUGUUUCUUGUUAUUAUUUAAGCUUAAAAAGAUUAAAAAGGGCUGUUUUGCUGAUACAUACCUCCUUACACCAGUUUCAGACAUUAAAGUAUGGUCGGUUGUGUUGCUGAUGAUAGUUCUUGCUUUUGUGUAUUAUUAGGAGACAUCGCAAUAAAUUUCAGUCUGCCUUAUAACCAUCAAAAAGCUUCCCACGGGAGCUUUAAGAUCUUGAAAAUAAUUAUCAAUAUCAGCCCAGAUGUGAAGCCUUUGGAAAUCCAAUUAUCGCUGUUUUUUUAUCAAGUAUAGGGGAAAGUACAGUUUAGUAUAGUUCAUCUGCUGGUUAGCCUAGCCAAACAAAGCAUCAGGCUAGGAACAGGGAGAAAAGGCUAGCUGGGAGGUGGAAAGAUAAACAAAUCAUGCUACCACCAUCUCUCAAACUCACAAGGUAUCACAAUUUACUUUGUGUUUCCAAUCAAAUAUUAGACCAAAAAAAAUUGAAAUUACAAAUGCAAGCUGAUAAACGAGUAAGCUAAUAUUAGAGCAAAUAAUCAAAUAUUUGUGCAAUUAUUUGACUACCCCUCUAAGUAUAAAACAUGGAAUUUAAAAAUCAAAAUGAACAAAUACCGGCCAUAUCCCUGCUGGGAUCCAGCAGAAGUAAACUUAUACUUUCAAUGUGAAACACAUUGUCAACGCAAACUCCCAUGUGUAUUUUUUAUCACUUCCUCCCUCCUCUUCUCACUCUCUUUCACACGUUUUUCCUCACUAAGCAGUAUAUUCUCUGCCACACUUGCUCCUGAAGGACAUUUGUUUGCCCAGAGAGUCAUCAAUCGCAGCAUGCCUGGCGGUUGCCAACUCUGGCUAUGUGUCUUUUUCCUACCCGAUGUCACACUUGUUUGCACACCAAUCGUCACUUUCUCAUUUACAAGGCAGAGGACGUACACACAGAUAGAGCUAGUGCAGGGAUGAAUGUAUACUCCUCAUGCAAUGACACAAACCCAUUUAAAUAUGAGUGGUUGCCACUUUAAAUACUUAUAGAAACAGCUUAAAGAGCUUGAGCUUAUUCAAAUUCAAGGCCAUGAUUGCAAAAUAACUCUCAACGUGAACAGUUUAUUGUGAGUUCUUUAGAGGACCACCAUGUCUAUAUACACCAGGUAAACAAAGGAGGAGAGCUCUGUCUCCAAGGACAAACAAAUGAAUAAUGUUUACCCUUGUGGGAAGCUGAAGUAGAUGCAGUUAUUUGCAUAGAAAGGUUUGAAGCUACAAAUAGGAUAUUUUUACAACUUAUAGAGACAUCAAACUGCUCUAUACGAAAAAAAUACCCUGUCCAAUCUUUGUAAUUACUCCCAAUAUUAAAGGUGGUGACUGAAGGUCUUUGGAUUGGUGGGUUUGUUUGGUGAAAUAAAAUUCACUUACAUUUUGUACACAGUGAAACCAAUAUGAAGAAAAACAUCAAGCUCAUUCAUUAAGAUGUGAUAGACAGCUGUACUUUCUCUACUGAAAAACAAAGGGUGCUUAUAAAUAGAGGUGCCGUUAUUUACAGAUGGCUGAUUCUAGCAAUGACAAUGCCAACAUGGUGUGAUUAACAAAACUACACUUGUUAUGAAAGGUGGUGAUGAGGGCGGUGGUAAGAUUCAUGAAUUGCUGAUUCUAGCCACAAAAUUGCUAAUGCAGUGUAAAAAACAUGGAAGAUAGGAAGGAUAAAGAGGGUAAGGUCCAAAUUUGGAGCCCAUGAUAAGUGCCAUAGCUCUGCCUGAUGUUAGCUACAGCUAGUAGGCAGCUGUUAGCUAGCAGCAGUAGAGUGUUACUUUUUGUCACAUUGAGGAAGAAUGAAGUCUUCUUUUAACUUCAUAUAAAUCAAGUUUGUGCCAUGAUGCUUUACUGCGAACAACUUAAAGUUACAGUGAGUACAAAUAGGAAUAAUUAGUGAUAUCAUGAGGUCAGCUUUCAGAUUGAAAUGCUCUCUUGUUUAACCCUCCUGUCUGUGAAGUGAAGGUGGCCUUUGAGGACAAAAAAACUCCUGUAAUUCAUGGUAACUACAAUACUCCAUUUGUCAAGUUUUUACCCACUGAAAGGCCUGUCAUUGCAAUUUCUUAUAGACAUUUGAUGCAAUACUAACAAUGAUUCAGUGUUGAUAACUAUUUUAAUACCUUUGCAACAAAAGUUAAAUCACUGGGGAAACACUAAAAAGGAUAACUUUGUUUUUACCACAUUACAGAGAGGGUUGGUUCAGAAAAAGUCACUGAACGGAGACCAGCAUUUGUCACACUGAUGAAUAAUGUCUUAAUAUUCUCUUUUGCUGGGCUGAAAAUAUAACUGUAGAUCCAUCUUCUUUAAGGAUUUAAUACUUUUCAAUAUGAUUUAAAGCUCCUGUGAGAAACUUUUAGCUUGUGUCAAUUUUGGCGCCCCCUGUGGACAAAGCAGUUUCUGCUUAAAUAGUCCUCUGCAUGUCUUCUGAUGAAAAAUCUCAUCCUGCUGACUUCUGAGUGUCAAAUAUCUCAUUUCUUUUGAAAAUGCAAUAAAGGAUGCCAUUUUUUUCAUUUGCUCCACUCACCUACCCUCUUGCAGUAAUUUCAGGCAUUUAAGACAACAGAAAAAAAAUUGUUUCUGAUGGUCUUGUUUGCUUUUGUAUACCCUAAAAAGGCAUUAGUAUGAAUUUUAUCAUAUCUCCUAAAUGUUACAAAAACCCUCACAGGAGCUUAAAUGUAAAAGUGAUGCUGAGUGAAUCAUUAAGAGGCAUGUGGCCUUAAGAAGUAUUUAAGUAUCAGAUACUUUGACAACCUAAAUGGCAUUAAUUGUGUUUCUAUGUAAAUUAAACAUUAAGUUUAGUACAAUCACUCAGCGUUUUAACCGAGACAAUUGAAUAUUAUUUUUUUGUUGUGUUUUUAUUUCUUUAAUUUUUGUGACAUGGAAUCUAAGUGGCAUGUGUUACCAACAAACCAGUCCCCAUGAAAGCUUGCUUGAAUAAAAUCCUGUCACAGCUGCUGCCUGCAGACUACUUAACAUGUUGUUAGCCUGGAGUCAUUUUUUUAAAGGCAUGGCUGAGAACGGUCUUGUUUGACUUGUACUGAAGUGAACUAUGAUUUAGUAUGUAGCGUUUUAUUCCAAAGUUUGACAUUUAUUAAUGUAGUCCUGGACUGUGCACUUCUGGGAGGCAACUGUUGCUCAAACACCUGUCCCGCUGCUCCCCUUGAGCCUACAUAGCCAACAAACAGGAGGCCUGCACCUGUUAAGCUUGUCUUUGUGUCAUGUUGCUCUGCUGCAGCCACAUAACCUUUAAUUCAUCUUGAACACUGUCAGAGUCGCGUUUACUUUUUGCUUUGAGGGCCAUGAAAGUUUUGCAGGCUACCUCUGUGACUCUGCUCCUUCAUGUGGGGGGAAUAUUAUCAAACAGACGUGGAGGAGCACUGUUUUGGGGGUUUGACUAACACUAAAACAGGGCAAAAUCAGAUUACUCUGACAUUAGCUCCAGGUCACUUUCACUCUUUUUCCUGUUUAAGAUCUUGUGUUUACUUUUUCCUGUUACACUCAGACUCUUAUACACUUGUAUGUCUUUGUGUGCCAUGUUGCCCGUCCACAUUUCCCUCUACACACACAAACACUCCUACACACACACACACUCCACUUGGCCUUCGCCCCUUACAUCAUGUUUCCAUUGCUCAAUGAAAGCCGACCUGUAUCAUGUGCCGCCGUUAUUGCCGCUGAGAGACAGACGAACAAACACCCUGUCUCGUCUUUUCCACCUCUUCGCCGCUUCUCCACAGUCUCUUCAUUGUGUGGAGGCGUGUUUGACAGCGAGUUUAUGAGAUAGCGUUUUUCCUUAAAGAAAAGCUGGAAAGUGGUUCAGUGCAGCAGCUCCACAUGACUGUGUUCACAAUCCUGCAGAUUAAUUCCUCGAUAAUUACAUUAAAACGAUUGGACUGUAUAAUGUAAAAUCCUCAUUAAAGAGGUAAAGAAACCAGCGAGUAUUUGAUAUGCUUUGCUUUGAAAUGACUUGGACUAAUAUUUGAUUACCAAAUUAGUUAUCAGAUAAUUUCCUGUUGACUAAUCCCUGAAGCUCUAACACACAUGAACACACACGCUGCAUGUGCAAAGAAGUUCUCCUGAUGAUUCCUCCUCCCACAGCCAUGUGACAGCUAUGUUAAUGAAGAUAUUAAACACCAUCUCUCCCCCCUCUUACACCCUCCUUUCUUUUCCAAAGUCAUUUUCAUCUUUGCAUAAUCUCAUUGCGGUGAUUCAGCAAUCACAAAGCUGUAUUAACUUCCAUUUAACUCUAUUAACUCACUUGUUUAUUAGAUGUUUAAUGCAUUUGCAAGCACUUCAUUUAGUGCACGCUUGUGUUUUUCCUAACUGCACAUAAGCACAGGUAAUUUUUUAAUAUUGCCUCUGUUUAUUACUGAUCAAUGACCAUCCCCAUAAACACAUUUCUGGUGCAGGUUUUUAAAUGAGUUAAAUACAUCAGGAAGAUUCUGAGGCAAGUGUUUAAUAGGAACACAAUAUCUCGCUGAAUUCUCGCUGAGCUGGCCUGCUUCUCAUUACCUGCAAACAUGCACACACUGAAAUGUACUUAAAGCUGGGUUUUCACUAAUUUGGGACCUGGUUAAAAAAUGUGGAAAACACCAUGUGUCAGCAAAGCAGCUUGUAAAAUGUCCCCUGCAUUCCUGUAUCAGCAGCUGCAGGCGUGCGCACAGAUGCAGACAUGUAUUUCGUAUUUUCUGUUCAGUAUAUUUCUGCAGCCACUACUUGAUUGCAUUUGUGAUUGCAUAGUGUGCAUGUGUGCUUGUGUGUGUGCUUCCCCUCUGCCCUCCGGGUAUCUAAUCUAUUGGCUUCUUUUGAUAGAGAUUUCUUUUCAUCCACUUACUCAGAUGCACACGCACAAAUAUGUAUUUACCUCUGGCUACAUGGCAGAGGAUGAAAGCAAAGGUUAAACAAAAUGUUGACUUAUUGACCAUCAUGCUUUGUUAAGCAGGAACAGCUCACUCCCCCCCGCAGUCAUGUGCUCAUGCUGACAAAAUGCAGCCACUGCUCACAGUCACUACCACAGGCGUGGACUUUAUGGAAAUGCUUAAUGGUUGAGACAGAAUGCAAUACACACAAGCACAUCUUGUUGUAUAUUUGAGGUGGAAAGUGAGCAGCCCUGUCCAUUGCCUUGGAAACGGCAGCAGCACUGCAAAGUAAUGAUGUUAUCACUGAACCAGGGUCAGUCCAGGACAGACCACUACACACCUACUGUACUCUCACUCAAACAGGAACAGACGUAAAAAGGUUGAAGUCAGGAAAUCUGAAUUUUCCCCCUAAAGGAAUGUGUGGUGGAGGAAUGCAGCCUGAAUUCUUCCAGCGUAGUGCAGCAACUGGAAACUGUAGAAGAAGCAGGGGAGUCUUAGUAAUCUAAUGGCAUUUUACAAAGCCAUAUUUUAGGAGCCAUCUGCUCUGAGCCCCUUUCAACACAGAUAUGUCCUCAAGCACUCAAACAAUUGAUUAAGGUUCAUAAAGCUGCCUGCCAAAAUUGGAAAGUAUUCCGCAGCUGAGGUCUGUGUGUAUAGACAUCAUUCAGAGACAUAAGUUCACAAAAAGGACCUUUAAAAAAACGGAAUUUAUAUUUAUACCCGUGGAUUCAUAAACCAAAUGAGAUGGCUAAUAUUUUUAUAUUAAAAAAAACCUGAAGAGAUGACAUUUAAAUCACAGCUUUCAUUUUCAAGAAGUUAGUCAGUGUGUAUUAUAUGAUUUGUAAUAGUGAUGGGCACUGCAGUUCCUUUAGAUGUACUGAAUCACUAGAAUCAGUUUACUAAAAAGAUUUGUUCAAAAGAUUUGUUCACCAAAUCACAGAAUCAUGUAGCGCUUGGCAGGACAAGUCUGCGACUACGACCUCCUGAACUGAUACCUAGCUGAACGGUUUAGGAUUCAGUUCAAUUCAAAGCUACUGAGACUGGGAGACGAGAGUGUUUGGUUGUGUUGCUUUGGCAAACUGGUUUGUAAAAAUGAACUUGUUUAUAAGUCAUGAUGUUGUCAUGGUUAUAAGUGAACUGUCCUAUGGUAUGCUAUUUACCAGGUCUGCUCGGUAAAUUGGGGUUAGUGAGUGAUUAGAAGAAUUCACACUGAACAUGCACCAUUCCCUCGCAAACUGCUGCAAUGAUAGGAUGCUGCGGGUUUAACGCACUACUUGUUACAUGCUGUGUCCUAUUGUAUGCAAGUUGUUGUGGUGGCAAUUUAGCAGUGAAAAAAAAGGGGUAGUUUUGUCCAACAAAAAUGAUUCCAGAGAGUGUAGUUCAAUGCGUGAUUCGUUCACCAAGCAAUUCAGGCAUCGGUGAAUGUGGUCCCUCAUUCGCCUGGCAAUGGCAAUGCUGGCCUGGCAAUGCUGCAAAACUUCAGUUGAGCUGAAGUGAGAAAUAAACGAAUCACUCGAGGAAGUGAUUCGGUUCAGUAUAUUCACUUAAAAGAUUCGGUUCUUUUGAACGAAUCGUUCGCGAACGACACAACACUAAUUUGUAAUGUAGUGACCACUCAUAUAAAUCUAGGCCUUGUGUGCUGGUUGUAUGUCAGGUCAUGAUUCAAUUUUUUUUGUCUUAAUACCAGAUGCUUAAAAGUACCAGCUUGUUACAAAUCCAAUCAAAAUCCUCUAAAUCUUCAAAUGUCAAGUAUAACUGAUCCAUCUGGGAUUGUUGGGUGUAACUUGUUGUCACAUAAAGUGCAGAAAUCUAACUUACUUAGCUGCUCCUGCUUGCUGCAUGUUGACUGUUAUUGAUAUCCUGAAUGUCCUCAGUGUGUGUGUGUGUGUGUGUGUGUGUGUGUUAUAGCUUGUGUACAUACUUGUGUGUGAUGGAAUGAUAAUGUUAAUGAGACGCAGGCAUGUGUCUCUUAGUUAUUUAUAAAGUGUUUUGUGCUCAAGGGUACACACAGCUCCCCCUGUAUCCCGUUACAAUCGUGUCCCAGUGAGGACAUAACGCACUCACACACACAGACACACACACACACACACACACACACUUCUUACUUUCCAGGGUUGUUAUGUCUUGAUCAAAACUUCAUUGCAUUCAGACUCUGGUAUAUAACUCUAUGCAAAUUCAUCAACAUCUAUCUGUGUGUGUGUCCUUGACUGUGAAAGCUUUUCAUGUGUGAUUCUACUUUUGAUUCAUUGACACGGGUCACAUCACCGCUACAGGCUCUCCUCUUCCUGUUGUGUCUCCAUGGCGAUGGUACAUACAAUAAAACGCACAGGCUGCUCUCCUCCUAGGUGCCAUAAGCUGUGUUUGUCUUACACGUCAACACAUGGAAAACAAACACACCGAGACAAGUGCACACACUCACACACUCUCUCUCAAGAGGGGUAGAGACCACACACAUAAUUGCUUAGCUCCUGUUCGGUUAUAAAUACUCAAAACAGCAACAUAAAUUACAUUAUUGCGACACAAGAGAGCAGCUAGUUUUGGUUUUAUAUGAUCAGUUAAGCCAUGCUGGGUGGGUCAGCUGGCUAGAAAAUAGGUCACUUUAUUGAGAUAUUCACCACUCACAUCAUUGUGGAUUACCAGAUGCAACCACAGCCCAUCAGGACAUUAAAUAUUGAAAGUGAACUGGAGGAUUUUCUUACAAUAAGAACGUUUCUAAUGAUCAGAAAAUGUCUCACAUGUGGGUACUUAACUUGUGCCUGACUCUAAAAUCUGAUAACUCGUGACUUCUCUGAGCUAGGAUUCACAGGCAGUCUGUUUCGCUCGUUCCCCCAAAACUUUCACUAGUUGUGGUGAAUGUGAAAGAUUGCACAAAAACAGAUCCAGUAUCUCACACAGAAUAAUGAAUUAUUGUAGAGAUAGACCGGGAAACACAGGCAUUCACUUUCCGAUAUAUUCUUCAAUAUAACAGCUUUCUUAUGCAGUCACAGGUUUUCUCAAACAGGGGCUUAUCAGCAGCAUGCAGUGUGAGAUUGUGGUUGCAUAAAAUAAUUCAUGCUGCGUCAUUUUGCAAACAUGAGCCAUCUUCAAUGAUCCGUUUCUGAUUUAAAGUAUAAUAAUAUUGUACUAUGCUGAGGUUUCCGAGGGCUGCUUUAAUGCGGUUGCCGUGCAGGAGGCAUAUUAAGCUCAGAGAUGUUACUACUGAGAUGAAAUGCCCUGUGGGGGUAAGCAGCAGUGUGUCUGUCUGUGAAUCUGAGCGCACAUGUGUUCAACUGAGAGAAUAUCUGCAGGGGAUGCGUAAGUAUGCUCAUUUCCAACAUGUGAGCCUGCGUCAUUCCCCAUGAAUACAUUUAAAUAAAGAUUAAAAUCCAGAAUAAUGGCCCUGUUACCAUCUAUUCCCAUCCCAUACAUUUCACAAUUUAGCUGGUGCUAUCUGGGCUGAGGAGGAGUUGACCCCAAGGGUGCCUCCUCCGCCGCCGUCAGGUGACUCUUCAUAUGAUGGCUCAUCAAUCACUGUCAGUAGUUAAGCAUCCAAUCAGAGAGACCUUGGCAGUGUCAUGUCCAAUCCGAUUGAUGGGGGGAUUUUUCAUCUUUCUGUUUAAUCAGAGAGAAGAUGUCAAAUAUCUGCUGAGACAUUUCACCUGCUCAGGAACAAACGUUUUCUACCUCUGGAAAAGUUUUUCUGAAUACAUUCAAUUAGAAGAUCUAACGGAUAUUACAAACCAGUUUUACGAAAACCCUACUUUUGUUUUCCUUGGUAUAGGGCUAAUCUUGAUCAUCCAUGUAAGUGAUUCUUAAAUUAAUCCAUUUAACAGGCUGACAUCAAGCUAAUUAUAUUUAAUAAUCUGAUGAUAAAAUGGCUGUUUCAGUUUUCUGGUUUAAGCUGCUGUUUAGGUUGUAUUUGACAGUGAACAGUUGUUUUUUGUUUUUGCUUUUUUAAGGUGUUGGAUUGUUGGCCAGGCAAACCAGAAAAAAGAAAUGCAUUGUCUGUAAAUUUUUACUUUUAUAAAAUGAUGUAGACAGAACAGCUACCUCAAAACUUGGUGAAUAAAACACUUCUUUCCAUCUGUCUGUUGACAUAUUAUUCAAAAAGUCAAUUUAAGUCCAACUGAAAUUGUCCAUACAAACACAUAGGUCAUACUGAAACUGCACUAAAACUUUUCCUAGUCUGACUAGCAUACCUAGAUAAUGCAGUCUAGGAUCAGUUUUCUCUUCCAUAUAUACAGCUUAACUCCACUGAAACUGGCCAAAACAUUAUGUACACCCCCCCCCCCCCCCAAAGUUUGCACACUGGGCUUUAAUUCUGAAGUUGGAUCGCUUAAGUGCUUUGCUAGGAGGUUGAUUGGUAAACAAAACCUCAACAGAGUCGUAAAACUAGAUAAAGCUGACGUGUCAUGUGUGCAAAGGGUUCAGAGCUGUAUUGUCUGAUGUACUAUAUCCUGUUAGCCACUUGCUAAAGUGUUUGUUUUGGUACCUAACAUGUCAGGUGGAAGACGACCCAGUAGUAAUGAGCAGAAAGGGAGCAUGUCGCCACCUACUGCAGCGGAGGCCAACACACUUCUGAAAUAAUCCGAUUCUUAGUGCGAGGCUAAACUUAGACAAAGACAGUAGACUAUUUAAAUUACCUAAUCAAGCUAUAUGAACAUAGCCCAGCUUAAAUGUACAUGUAAAAGUUAUACCAGUGCAACCAGUAUACCAAGUAUACCAUGCAGAGGUGCUUUAAUGAAGUUUCAUCAUGGAGCAGCUGGCAUGUGGUCCAUAACUCACAACUAUCUGCAUUAUCAUAGGCUGAGCUCAACUAUCAAUCUGGCAUUAAAUUCUACAUUCUACAAAAAUAAACACCCCAGAAAUAGCUACACAGCUGCACAAAAACUGCAAGUUGAGGACCUUAUUUUGAGGACCUGUAUUUAUUGUACUUGGCAACUUAUGUUUGUUCUUGGCAGUAAUGGAAAAAAGGUUUGGGCUCUACAUAGGGGAAGAUAAGAUCAUUAAAUCUCACUGCAUGAUGACUUCCUGAUUCAUGAUGUAAGAGGUAGAUAUGCACAGUGCAUGCUCUGCUUACUACUUCCACUGCGGUGUACUUGUGUAACUUCUUUGUCUCAGUUUGAAAUCAUGUCACGUAACAAGAUUUUGAAUAGUUCUUAGAGUGACUUUAAAAACACUUCAAGUACUGCUUGGAGUAAAUGGUAAUUGAAAUAUAAUGAGUGUUCAAAAGCUGAAGAUUUGUUAGUCAUGUGAAAAUGCAAUGCAAAUAUGAAUUGGGGAAGUAGUGCAUGCUCUACAAAAUGACCUCUGAUCAUCUUUAAAUGUUUUUGUCAAGCUAUGGCGCAGAAAAGAAACACAACUGCAUCGACAGCAGAAAUUUAAAUGAGCUUUCAAUAUGACACAUCACCUCAACAGAUGUUUCAUACAUACAGACAUCAGCAUUUCUGUUACAUGUAUCACCGGUACAAUGUUGUGGUUGUGUGUUGUAUUUGAUAAAAAAAAAAACUAAUAAAGGACUUCAUAAGAUUUGUUCGUUGCAGUACAGCCACCACACAAUGUCAUCCCAGACUUGGGAAAUGGAUUUGCAAAAACCAUUUCUCUGACACGACACUGAAUGUGCAAUCUCUGAGCGUCAAAUGGAAGUGAGAUUUCGUGGCCUUGCACUAUCGGUGCUGCAUGAGAGAUUGAAUAAGACUUUUUUUAUGGCAGGGCAGAUGACAUUGCUGAUAUGUGGUGCAAACAAACACGCAGAAGACUUCACACUCUUGUAUGUACAGUAUAUUGACACUGAAUAUACUGUAUUUGUAUGUUGAUCUUUGAUUGUACAAUGUGUGAGGGCAUAUGGCCUCUGAGCACUCGUGUGUGUUCUCAGAGUGUAAACCAACAACACUUUUAAUGAACUACAAUCUCAGAGUGAUAUUUGUUACGUGAGAAGAUAUCUGGUUGGAGUGUGAUGAACUUGUAGUACUUACUGGCUUACAACUUUACCACCACUCUGCAUUUUUUUGCCAGGUUUCAACCCACAAAUUAGAAUAAAAGUUUGUUCAAUUCAAGCGCCUGUUUGGUUCAAAAUUUUGAAUAUGUACAGAUGAAGGAAUAAGCGGUUAUUGUAGGGUUUGGGAAAAUGUCCACAACUUGAACUUGCUGAUGAAUCUUAUGACAGUGUACCUCAGCUGGCAGGGUGCCGGAGGGCUUCACAUUGCAGAACAACAGCACAUGUGAGAAAAAAACCAGUGUUUGAUGCUCUCAUGUUUUCAAAAUUAGCAUGAACAUUACCAAACACAAGAAAUAAAAUACAUUUGCUUACUGUGUUGGCAAACUUAGCAUCAAAUCUGGGUGGCAUAUCUCAGCUCCUUGCCCAAGAUGUCACCAUCCUCCACAACCCUCUCUGCUGAACAUCACAGGGUUUUUGUGAAUGACUGUGCCAUUGUUACAGCUUUCUUUUUUAUCUACCAAGCAGUGAAUGUGUCUGCUUGUUCUCCCCAUCUCUCUCUCAUUAUCUGUGAUAGUUGCACACUCUCUGUACAAACACCUAUUUCUCUCUCUCCGACUGACUCAUGAUUCACGCGCUCACAUGGUUUUAUCCUGCCAGUGCAUGAUCGAUUUUCUCUGGCAGAUUUGUGCCUACACGCUCACAGCCAAAAGCUUUGCUAUGUAAUCACACAAAGUAUGUGGGAAAUCCUUUUUACUUUCGCACCUAAAGGUUUGUCGGCUCUUGGCCUGCUCCCCAAAUGACAUUGCCUCUGCGUUUUAUGUAGCAGUAGAAAUCAAUCGACAGCCACUUAGAAGCGAGGGGGAUCUAAUUAAAUAAAUGAAGCACAUCAUCGGGUACCCGUGAAAAAGGAAGAGUGCGGAGGGCAGUACAAUCCGUCUCUUUGGGAUCCCACCCUCGCUGCAGGAAUGAGUCAGUCACCCUCUGCAACACCACGGCUCUUGCCUUCAUGCGGAUAUGCACACAGAGAGACAUGCACACUCUCUCUCACAGUCCAUCAGGUGUGUGACUAAGCAUGCCAUUGUCAGUGUAGCUCUCUAGUCCCCCCAUCACCAUCCCUCCCACACAAAAACAGCCUCAGUGUUUCCCAUCUGUCACCCUCUACUCAGCAGACAGCAGUGUCGCCUGUCAAAAGUGCUGGUCAUUGAUUGCUACUGUAAGGUGGGGCGGGCCCCAGGGUAUUGAAUUUCAAAUGACUGCAUUAAACUGCGGGGCUGUUGUGGGCAGUGGCAGCUGUUUGGGUACAGUGCUGUCUUUGUGGGGGCCAGCUGACUCAAAAGAUCUCAUCAUGGACAGUUAAUACUUAGCUGUGGGAUCAGUGGCUGAAUCAUUCCACCCAGUUCAAGCUAUGAGCAGUGAAUUGGCUAAAUUAAAGCCUGCCUUCAAAUGGCUACUCCUGAAAAUUAGCUUUGUACUUCCAAGAACUGAGAAUCAUAUGAGAGGGAAUGAAAAAUGACCUAUUAAAAAGAAGAAGCAACAGUGUCUGACUCUUUAUGGCUAGUGGGGGUGAAACUCUCAAAAUAGCGGCUUCCAUGACUCUGCAAAUGGCCCCCAGUGCGGGCCACCUGGAGGCAGCAUAAUUAGGUUUUGAUCAAAUUGAUAUAUCACCUUUUUAGUUGAUGUCAUAAGCUUGUUAGCAUACAAGUACUUGUGCAAAUAGUCAGCAGUGACAGAAAAAUGUUAAGCUUUUAUUUGAAAACUUGUCUAGAAACUCUCUCGCUCUUUUCGCUCUGCUUUUGCGGUCUACCAGACAUUCUGGGAAAGAUCUGGUCUCGUAGCUUUGAAAUGCUCUGCUUACUUGCGUCUUGCUGAUAACUAUCUAGAACACUGUGGCUUUGGCCUUUGCUAAAUACAAUAAUCUCUUUCAGCUCUCUUUCGUCUGUGCUGACUCCUGAAUAAGGGCCUAUGUCCACUGAUGGCAUUUUUUUGCAAUGGCAGUGCACUUUUCAACAGUGAUUACAGUUGCUAGGUGACCUUUCAGCACCUUUGCUUUGCUAAGUAUUUGCCAUUGAGUUGACUGUAAUGUAACUAUAUAUACUACAUGUAUGCUUUUACUUGCACAUUUUUUUCAAUAAAAAUGUGCUCUAUUUCUUGUACCCCCUUAAAAAUAAGUGUGGUUAAUUUCUCCUUGAAGCAUACUUCAACCAUGUGGUUGACAAAGCUGAUAUAAGAAGUCCUGCCCCUUCUUGUGCUUGAUAUUAAGGCGUACAGUUGGAUUACAAAAGUUGACUUCCUGGACUAUCGACUGAGAGAGUUGUGAGCGCAGUGGCAAAAAUAACAGCUGACACCAAGGGUAUUUUAGCACUUAUAACACUGAAUGCUGAGGUAUGUUGCUUUUUUGGUUUUAUACAAAAAUAGAUACUGUCAGCAAGUAAAAAAAUGUCAUCAGUGAACACAGGUCUGAAUUGAUUCACUCUUUUACCUGAUAAGUGAUGAACAUUAUACUCACAAGCUACUUGCAAAUGUCAUUCUUUGUGGUUAGUGGCAAAGCCGCAUCAAUUAAUCUUUCAAAUGCUUUACUUUUACUUUGUAAACUAACUUUUAACAUGGAUGUGAAAAUGAAAAAUGGAUAUAAAAACCUUCACCUCAGUUCAGUUUUCCCUGAUGCUGUCAUUUUUGCAUUCCCUGAAUUCACUGCCAGAAUCCAGCACUCUGGCAUUAGACAGUGCAAAUGACUGGAUUCUAAAAACCAGGUCUUGUAGGUCAAAAUAGUCCUAUAAAGAGCUCCUUAGGUGUCAGAAGAAUUGGUUCUUGCUGAAUCAAUUGAUCUGGUUUGCUAAAAACAGUCUAAAUUCCCAUCAUGGAGAUCUAUGCCUGAGGUUGUUAAGCUAACAAAGAAGGAUCUAAACCCUGCUCUUCCAUGGUAAGAUGGAUCACAGACAAACUGGGGGGGGGGGCAUGCUGCUUUUUAAUGAUUUGGAGUAAUCUGUGAAUCUUUAUGGAUAAAAUGUGUUUGGAUUAAACCUUUUACUGGAUUUGGGUUGCUGGGACCCUUUCUGCUGCAGCAGGUGGUGGGUGGGCUGUUGGACUUUCAACAGCUCUUAUCAUCAAUGUUAACCUCCAUUAAUCCUAAAUAGAAUUUAUGGAUUAUUAAGUGUUAACCAAGUUAAUGACUUUAUCAAUGAAUGGUUAAUGGUUAACAGAGUUAAAAUUUGGAUUAGCUGUGUCCACCUCUGAUUAACAAGUUGUAUGAGCUGCCUGCCAUAUUAGACAUCCGAAAACAACAUUUGGAGAAUGUUUGUGAAAUAAAACUAAAACCUUUAAUUGGAAAGUUCAGCAGUUUGUGCUCACUUAAAUCUUAAUAUGGCUGAUCAUUUUCUGUUGGGAUUACAGAGAGCGAUUUCUUUCUCUGUGCCACUCAUAUCUAAAUGUUAAUGCUCAAAUAAUGAGUAUAUCAGAUUGUCAUUUAAUUAACAAUGUAUGGGUCACAGACUUUGUCCUCUCUUGAGUACAAAGUGCUUUCUGACAAGUAUCACUGGCCAUCUGAUUGGCUGGAGUGCUUAUAUGGAUUUAUUCCACGGCCACCAUGUUUGUUUUCAACGCAGCCGUGUCCGGGCGAGCAUCAUGUUCCUUGUUUUCUGAGAAAGGUUUGUUGGCUGACAACAGGAGGAGGAGGAGGAGGAGGAAAAGGAGGCUAAGGCCCAAGCAAGUCUCCAUGUCCCACCACAUCCUCAGGUUACUCACCAGCCUCAUCCAUUAUUGCUGACCCUCAUCCAUUAUGGAUGAGCAGGUACAAUGCCACAUGGCUCCGGAACCGACGGUCCUGAUGCUCUCCCCUUGCACCGCUAACACCACUGCCAUUUCUGCUGCUGCUGCCCUGCCGGAAACCUUCACCACCCUGGAGCUCCUUUAUCAUCUCUUUUCGCUGUGACCUACAUAAACAGAGAGCAGGGACAGGCUUGCAGGGAGAGAGCGGAACUUAAAGUUUGAAAUGAUGCAGAGCAGAGAUUCAACAGGAGGAUGAUAAGACAAACAAAAUAUGUGAUAAUAAAGAUAAAAAACUGGAAAAACAAGCCUUUAAAUUUAUCUUAUCUCCAUUGUUGGACCUAUCACUUGAUCUUUUCCAUUUCACAUUUGCAGACCAGAGUUUAUACCUUGAGCAAACAGCCCAUCCAUAAUGAUAGCAAUUAGCAUCCACUAAAACUGGCAGGGUGCCGGCUUGUAGCAACAUUAAGUUCCAGAUAAUAACACUAAUGAUGACUUGCAGCCUCCGACCAGAGUCUCCUCUCUGUCCUUUUUCCCUUUUAUAGCUCGGAGUUCCUCGAUGCUUCUGCUCUGGGGAAUGUUUUUAGUCACAGCUUCCCUGCAUUUGACAUUCAAGAGGUACUUGUUUGACAUUGGGAAGUAAACUGGAAAGAACCCAUGUUUCGUUCCAGCCUGGAGCGCAUCAACGGUCCUGCUAGCAUUUGCCAACUAGACCUUGAAAACAGCUGGACUUGCUGUUAUUGAGCAGAGCUGGAAAUACUAUAACACAUUUGCAGACUACUUCUCAAAAAAAGCGGAUAUUUUUGUCACCAAACUUGCCAAAGACUGUCCUUACAACUACACUCCGUGCUCAUUAACAGCUAUGUGUCCUGCCAGCAUGUCCUCGAGCUAGAUCCUGGAAGUCACAGAGAACAAGCUUGUCAGAUAGAUGUCUAAAACAUACAUGUACAACAUCUUAUCCAAGUGCUGGCCCACAGCAAGAAUUCUGCUCAGUCUUUUCUUUUUAUUUUUGGGCGGGGGUAUAGCUUCAGAGUUAACUCAGAGUUGCCAUUACUUAUUUGGACUCUGUUCUAAUGGAGAGGCUGACUCUUCUGGGUGUUUUUGAAACUGGGCUAUUGGAGCCAAAAGUAGGGUAGCCUUCAACUAGGCUACAAGCAGAGCACUCCCUCUAACUGGAAUACGUGUUGUCUGGUCAGUCUAAUGAGGCUAAGGCCUGUUUCUGAAAGAGAAAGGGGGAGUCUUGCAAUCAGCAUAUGGACAUAUGGAAAAUAUGACAAUUAGAAUCCAAGAUAAGGGUACUGAUAACAAUGAGAUCUUAGUCUUGAAGAGUUCGUUACAAAAAAGAGAAAUCAUCCUCGGCUCUUCAAAAUGUCACGCCUUUUAUUAAUGUAAUUUUCACUCAUCUUUAUCUGCAAUCCUGAACGUGUGAGAGUGGGCCCGUCAUCCGCUGCAGCAGUAUUACUCAGUUCAGCUCACAGGACACUUCCCCGAGCUGGAGAAACAAAGGCCAGUCUGUUUCUAUGGUUUCUCACUUACUGGAGAUCUGAGUGGAAUUUUACAUAGACAAGGCUAAUGGAUCAACUGCGCCAGUCGACACUGAAGGAAUACCAAGAAGAGGUAUCAUAAUGGAGAGUGUGACUUCCACUGUGUCAUUGUGGCGCUCAUAAGUGAAAUGAAGUACACUUGUUACAUCAUAGGUGUCACAGGAGGAAAAAAAGACUUCCAAGAAUACGCUUUGAGCCCAAGGUCCUCCUCCCCGAGUCGAGAAUACAAACCCAAACCUCCCGACAAUUCAUAACAGGAAGCCCACCUAAAGAGCUUUGACAAACAUGUCCUCCUCGCUCCAGAUGCCCGAUGCUUUAUACAAAGGGAAGGGUUUUUUUCUACAGACAGAGCAUUGGAAAACUCCUGCCUUGCCCUUCACAUGACACACCAACAGGGAGGAAAGUUUCCAUUAACUGUCGGGCAGCAGCUGAAGGUUGUGACUUUGUAAGAGAGGGAGGGCUGAAGGACAAGAGAGAAGGGGAUUCACAGCUUUACUUCAGAGCUAGAUAAUACACACUGAAUAUGUUUAAGUUGUGCAGGAGCUGAAAGUCAGUCAGGUGCGCAACCAGGUCACAGUUGGCGAAAAAUACACACUGAGAUGGCACCGAUGUUGCUGGUAUGCAGAGGUACUGGUGAGGCAGAGUUUUCACUCUGCUAAAUCUCUCUGCGAGUCUGGUAAAAGGUUCCCAACCUCAGUGUCCAUAUUGUUAUUUGCAGCUGUUGUGAGCUGCUCCCUCUGAGGAAGGGCUUGCGGAGACAUUACCCACAGCUGCAGCACUCAGUUGAGAGUCUCCACUUUGCACAACACUUUUAGCCGGCGGGAUCCCAUUGAGACAUGCUUUAACCUCAUUACAUCACUGUGGUUGCUGAAAGAGAAAAUGUGUUUGAGGUUAUCCCUAAUAACCAAUGGCUCGAUAUUCAAUUAAUUGGAGUUACCCCUCGUUCACGCUCAGUCAUGCAGUAAAGGAAUAUAUCAAGGGAAAACCCGAACCAACCAGAUCACCACACUCUACAGAGAAGGUCAUGUGUGCCGAGAUAAAUCUUACAAGUAUUAAAUCUACUCUUUGAUACAGAUUUGUUGGCAUCACAUUUUUAUGCCUUAGGGUAAUUGGACAACUGCCUUCUGUUAAGCCUAUCAGCAAGUGCUCUGUUCAUGUGACACCCAAGGAGACCACAUUGACGUCCUGGAUCAUAAUGCAUUGUGUAAGCACCAAUGUGAUCGGUUCAAAGACAAUUUAAUAAACAAAGAUCCUUUUCAAAAGCAGUUCCCCUCUUGAUCUUUGCAGCUAUACUUGUGGUUAACCCUUAUUCUAUAGGACAGAAUAAACCUUCAUUUUGUUCUUUCUGUCUUAAGGUGACACGAUUUUCCUGUCUGGAGUAACACAAUCCAACUCAUGAGUGGCUCUGCCCUGCCUGCUUGUUUCAGCAAAGUGACUGACUUUUCUCCAGACAGACCCGGGAUAAUUGGAACAGUGGAUUGAGGGACUGGCACACACGUACGUACACACACACACACACACACACACACAUGCAAACCCACACAGGUCAUUACAUUUACCACUAAGCAUCUCCAUAAGCCCAAGCAGGCAUAUCUGACAUAUCCAUCUGCUAUGCUGGGAUCAUGCUGGAUCUGCCUCUCUCUCUCACUCUUACUCUCUCUCUCUCUAAAUUGGGGUGAGGGGUGUGCCAGCAGUAAUAAUGCUGAUGAUGGCAUGUAAUCACAGGGGUUGAUCACAGCGAGCUAACCAAGCAGGGCUAUGAUUUUACCCUCUUUUACUUCAUGUCAUAUUGGUCUGGUUUUAAGCAUUACAAUAAAAAAGACAGUUAAAAUCUGAAAAUCCUUUAAUCCUUUAAGAAUGACUCAUUCUUUAUUGAUUGUGCUUUAUUGUUGCCAACAUAUUACAGAUCCUCCUCCCUAUUUUUGUCAGCGUCUGCGUCAUGUAAAGCAUUACUUCAGUCAGGUUUAUAGUUUAAAAGCUUUAAGUGGUUACGUCACAUUGCUUGUGUAAUGGUGAGUUUUCCUUGUUUUUUUUUUUUUUUUACCCAUAAUCAUGUCAUCCAUAUCAUUGCACCACUUACAUUAAGAAAAUUUGUGUUUUGUAUAAGUCAUCUACCCCUUUCAUACUCAUUGUUCCACCUAUGGUCUGCAGCUAGCGGGGUUAGCUGGAGACAGAGGGAAAACAGCAAGCCUAGCAAGUUACUGUAAAUACGGUAAAUAAGAGGCAUUUGUAAUUUGACUAAGAGGUCGGUUUACACCAAAAUACUGUUAUAACAUACAAAGAGGGGUAUUUUGUGGUGUUACAAUACCCUGAAGAUGAUGCUCCAAGGAGCCAGUGACUAGUUUGUAGCACAAAAUACGCCAAGAAAAGACAAGUGGUGUCACUUUUUGAUCUGUUUUUGCAAUUUUCACCCAAAUUAUUCACAAUAAAUUAUACAUCCUACUGUCAAAAAUCAGCAGAAUGAGAUGUUAUGCCGAUAGAUACUACUGUAGAGUGAAGACACAGGGACUGCUUUGUCCACAGGAGGCGCCAGAAUCACAGGAGCAUCAACGAUUAAACAUGAUUGGCUUACUUGUACUGUAUGUCAUCAUCUAUUACUUGAGUUGUGUUUUAUCUGUUCUCAGCCCCAUGACAAAAACAUCUUUGAAGAAGCCUGCCUCAUAAAACCAUCUAUCUUAUGCUUUUAUUUUGACAUUUUUACGAUAAUGAGGUUGCUUUAUUUUCUGUGUUGUAAAUCAUGCUUUUAUUUUGAAAAUUGAAAGCAUAUGCUAUGCCAGAAGAUUAUAAACUAAAAUCAUGAAUGAAAACUCACAAUAUCUUCAUGAAGACUAGUUUCCUUUAGACAGGGCCAGGUUAACCAUUUCCUAUACUGUUCACAUUGACCAUGCCAAGCUUACCACCUGCUUGCUUUGGCUUAUACAAACUGACACAAACAGCACUCUUUUUUUGCUGAAAUCCACAAACCAUUUUGCCUCAAUGACUUUUAUUUGAAUAUUCUGCCUGUAUGAAAUAUAAUUUAUAUUAGGAGUUAAAGAUGAUAUUUGACCUGCACUUGUGAAGUUCAUUUUGAUGUCUUUGCUUGACUUACAUCUCUCUUUCACCCCCCUCUCCUUCCAGUAACACAUGUUCACAUGUCUUCACGCCUAUGGUAGGAUGGCCAAGGACACCGACUUGGACUGCAGGGCAAGUUGUGUGUCUGUGGUGUGUAUGUGGAUGUUGUGUUUAUGUAUGCAUUUGAAUGAGCUUUCUUUAGCCCCAAGAAUCAUAGGUCCAAGUCUGUAAUCCUCCCUCUCAUCCUUUCUGUGCCUUUCUUCCCUCCCUAGGGAAAAGCCCCCAUGCGAAAGGGAAGAAAUGGGGUGUAAAGGGCACCGAGUUCCCAUUGGAUCCAUGCCCCAUCUGUGCCUAGACUGUGCCACUCUGCUUUGGAAAUUGCAGCAGCUUUGAAGCGUUUGUAAUGUUUCCCUUCUUCUCUUGCUCUCUGCACAUUCAGUGGGUAGAGCAAAAAAAAUCUGAUAUGGCUGUGUAAUUAAGUUGCCAUUAAUUGUUUUGCCUGGUCCCGGGUGGCACUGCUCAGACUUUGGGGGAAGAGAACAGCUGAUUUAUAGAGCUGAUGGGCUGCACGCCUAACUGAACAACUAAACACAGUGAAAGUGAUUCUUAAUUACUGCCUGUUGCCUCUAAUUUACCCAAAGUCACCUCUGCCAGAAGGCUAACUAGCCCCCGCUGUCUCGCACACAGACUUUGAAUCAUGUCAAAACACCUUUACUCAUUGCCUUUACCCUCCAACAUUUAUUUCUGGCUUGUUUUAAAAACCUAGAACCUCGGAGAUGUUGUUUGAUCCUGCAAUAUUUGUCUUGUUUGUUUUUCGUUCUGUUUUCCAUGAGCGCUGUGCUGAGUCUAAAUGUGGAAUCUCAGGUGGUUUCUCCGCUGUGGCGGUGAUUGAAUCAAUUCUAUUUAUACGCUCUACAUUUUAUGACAUGUAAAUGUUCACUGGCCUGAAUGAAAUACACUUUCCAGCUUCAACCGCCAGCCGAGCCCAAUGUAAAUACUGAAGAUAUCAACGGAAAACAGACCAUGGAAAACAUGUCCUGGAGGGCAGUGGCACUAACCCCCCCCAAUCAGAGCAGCACUUACACCCUUCUAUGGCUUCACACACACGUGUUUAUACUAUGAUGGCAUACCAUACUCACUCUCCUCCACUCCCACACCCUCAUAUUGCACUGGGUGGGACCAUGUCCUGACAAAGUGUAGCCUCAAUGGGCACUUGAGGUGAAUUAUUGUUUGUGAGUGGAAACUUGGCCAGAUAAUCUCGGUGCUGCUGGCUCAGGGCUGAGUAAGACCACUGUCUCCUACCCUUUUACGCACACACAAACACGCCCUUUUGCGCACACGCAGCUUUUGUUUCACCGUCUAUUUCCAGUUCACGCUUAUUUGCUGACUCUUUGACUUUUUUUCAAUGACUCCUUGUCUGUUCUGGCUGUGCUUUUGCUCCAUCUUUCUCUUCCCUUUUUUGCUACUUCUUUUUCCCAACAACCCCGGCCUUUAUCCUGGAGGCCAUUCACCUCUCCGUGGCUGCCCUUGCCAGUGCCUGCAGUAAAUUCCAGGAGAAGUUGGAAACACAAACACGCACAAGCCCAGGACGAGAAGCCCAGUCAUGUUAGACCCCUCCUUACCGCCACCGCUCCGCUCUCUCACAAGGGGUCUUUGUGUGAGUCUCUUUCACAGGGUCACUUUAGAUCCUCUCUUACCUGCAUCAUAGGUGUAAUUCAUGCGUCUGUGUUGGCUUGUUUUGCCGCCAGUAGGAGUGUGAGUGUUAAUCAUAUAAUUGUAGAGUUCUCAAGCAGACAUAAACUAAUGUUUGGACUCUUGUGGACUUCAGGAUUACAGUAAUUGUGGCCUGCUAAUGACGUGCUAGAUUAGAAAGGUUUGUUGAUGCAGCUUACUGUCCUGCAUGAAUAACAUGUUUAAACAGUUUAAAGUAAAUGCUGUCUUCUCUGAAUUCAGACAUAAAGAAUCUUUACAACGGACAAAAUAUUGCAAUGUGAAAUAUAUAGUCUUCAUGCUUUGUAUCUUACUCAGUAAAAGGCGUCGUUUAGAUCUUGCUUUUAGCUGGUUUUAUUUCCCUCUGUCACUUUGAUCCAUAUUUAUCGUUCAUAUCUCUCACAAUCUCUGCUCUCUUCCCAUGUUGCACCUGCAUCUUCACCUUUUUUUUCUUUAUUUUAUUGUUGGGUUUUUUUGUAAGAAAAAAAUGGACUGUACAUUAGCAUUUGAAUAACUAAUGACAUGAAUCAAAAGUAUUUUAGUUAAUGGUUCAGUUUCUUUUUGAUCAUGCUAACAAAUAAUCAUUACUAAUCACUAAUGUCCGAUUGAGUUCCACUAAUUCAACACAAUACAAAAUUAUAUGCAACAAUAUAAUACUGUUCAAGACCAAUAUGAUUUAAGACCAAUACAAUUAGAUGGGAUGCAAUGCUGUUCAUUAUGGUAUUAUACUAUGAUACAACACAAUGUUAUACAAUGCAAUAAGGACUGAUACAAGACCACUAUGGUAUGAUAUGAUACAUAAUGGUGUAAUAGAAAAUAAUAGUAUGAUACAAUAUGAAACCAAUGUGAUAUGAGACCUUUAUAAUAUGAUAAGAUGUGAUGCAAUGUGAGUUAUGGUAUGAUACAAAACAACACAAUGUGAUACAAUCAACACAAUAGAAUUUGAUACGAUAUGGUAUGAUGUGAUGGACCUUAUUGCCCUGUAGGGAAAUUUGUUCCAGACUCUUGUACUUCUGUGUGAGUAUUUAAAUCAAAAAGAAACAAACAGUAAUAUUUGUUUUGCAUUGAUAUUACUACUGUUGUAGGCCAUGUGAUUUACCAAGCUAAUCCCAGAGCUGUAUUUGGUGCUGUGUGAUAUCAUAUUGUCCUGAAAAUUACCUUGCGAUGACAUGAUGAAAUGAUACAAUUUGACACUAUAAAAUGAUUUGAUUCAGUUCACUGUAUUUUACUAGUAAGGACAAUUUUUUGGGACGUAUGCUGCAGGCAAAUACCAGCUCCCACUAUAGUUUUAUACCAGAUAAUAAACCUAAGAAAUAAUACACCACUGCAAAUUUAAACAGAAGCAACUACCAGUCACAAUGGAAAAACAUAUAUUUCACAUGACCCAUGACCAUGGUCUGUAUGAUAAACAAUAUAAAGAAGUGAAAGAGA